rnacentral:lncRNA from 1 species
CCUCAAUGAAAUCAAGGAUUCUGUUGUGGCUGGCUUCCAGUGGGCCUCAAAGGAGGGUGCACUGGCUGAGGAGAACAUGCGUGGCAUCUGCUUUGAGGUCUGUGAUGUUGUUCUUCAUGCUGAUGCAAUUCACAGGGGUGGUGGCCAGGUCAUUCCAACUGCCAGGAGGGUUAUUUAUGCUUCUCAGCUCACUGCCAAGCCAAGGCUGCUCGAGCCAGUUUACCUUGUGGAGAUCCAGGCCCCAGAAAAUGCACUUGGUGGUAUCUAUGGUGUUCUGAACCAGAAGAGAGGGCACGUGUUUGAGGAGAUGCAGAGGCCUGGUACCCCGCUCUACAACAUCAAGGCUUACCUCCCUGUCAUCGAGUCCUUUGGGUUCUCCAGCCAACUGAGGGCUGCAACCUCUGGCCAGGCGUUCCCUCAGUGUGUGUUUGACCACUGGGACAUGAUGGGCUCUGAUCCUCUGGAGGCCGGCUCCCAGGCUGCUCAGCUGGUGUUGGAUAUCCGCAAGAGGAAGGGUCUCAAGGAGCAGAUGACCCCUCUUUCUGAGUUUGAGGACAAGCUCUAAAUUUUGGUGGUUUGUGCUGCUGUUACCCAUGCUGGUUUCAUGGCCAAUUCGUCUACUGUAACUGGAACUACUUUCAUGUUUCAUUUCCUUUAGUUGUCAGAUGCAUCUGUUUUUGAACAUCAUUGGCCAUAUGGCAUUGUGCUGCUAAGACUGUAUUUUGUUAUCCGGUUGUGAUGUAACAGAUGAAAUAGAGUUCAUAUCUGUGGUUUAAGUGGUAGUAUUUGCGGUAUAAUGCUUGUUUCUACUGCCUUCUGAAAGCCUUUCUUUUGCCUAACGGUAGAGCGGAUUAACUAAGGGUGUUGUAUCAUUUGAUUCAUUUGAUCCUUCAUCAAGGAUGAAGCCAUCUCCUCAUGGGAACACAUUAUUCUACUAUUAGAAGCGAAGAUGUAACAAAUUAGUUGAAAGAGGAGCGUUGAAAGAGGAGCGAACCAUACUUUACUAUAUGGUAAGUAGCAAAUUAGUUACAAGUAGCAAAUUAGUUGAACUUUAGGAUCAUGCACGUUGAACCUUGUUAUCUAGGAUCAUCCAUGGAUCAUGCACGUUGAACCUUGCUAACUAGGAUCAUGCACGUUGACCCUUGUUAUCUAGGAUCAUCCAUGGAUCAUACACGUUGAACUUUGCUAUCUAGGAUUAUCCAUGUAUGCAUCAUGUAGUGCAUCUGUGCAUGCAAUAUUCUGUUAUCUAGGAUCAUCCAUGGAUCAUACACGUUGAACUUUGCUAUCUAGGAUUAUCCAUGUAUACAUCAUGUAGUGCAUCUGUGCAUGCAAUAUUCUGCCCUUAGCUUGGUUUUACUGCCGAUAGCUAUAUAGUGCAUUUAAAUGCUUUUCUUUUGCCCACAGCCCCAGAGGUAGAGAGGACUAACUGUUUCUGUUGCUUUUUUUUUUUACGGUCUACGGGAGAGAGUGUGUGUGUGUGUUGGGGGUGGGAGCGCCCCCACCUGAUUUUCAUUUCAUUGAGGGUCUGUUUCAGGCCAAACGCUGUGUAGAUCAAAAGGAGAUAGAGAGAGGCAGUGUACAUCUGGUUUUGUGAUUGUUUUACAUCGAAGCAAAGACAGUGCACCAGGAGUCGGUUAUCACGCGAUCCUCUAUGCGAAACCGCUCGCGCCAAAGUCGGGCUUCGUCUCGGCAUGCCGACCAGAAGCGUUGUUGAGAUGGAGCGCAGCGCUGGAACACUGGGUCAUUCCGGUGCUUCCAUAACACCCACGGCAGAAGGAGUUUUUUCUUGCUUUGCCUUUAGCUUGGCUUUAAUCCUGUUAGCUAUGCCUAUGUAGAGCAUUUGGUCCUUCGAAUUUUAAAUCGAUGUUGAUUUUGAUUGCAUGCCGUCAUUUUGGGUUGGUUCCAACUAUGUUUUUAAUAUCAGUCGUUCUGAAGGUUACUCUGUUGACACUUGAUUGCAUAACCGUUUGCUAGUUUUGCGUGCAUCCGCGUGCUGGUUCGUCUCAUCAAGAACUAGCCGUUGCUCAAAACUCUGGCUUUCAGGCAUGGCCGCAACAGCCUGGAGGAUGUGUUGCUGUUCUGUAGCUGUAGUGUGCGUCUGUGCUAGUGGAUGCAGGGAGCCAGCGACCUAAAAGGAAUCGUGUAUUAGUGGAUGCAGGACAUCGGCCGUGGCGGCCUGGGGGAGACGACCACGCUCGACAUGAACGGCAGUAAGUUCAAUGGCACGAUCCCGGCGUCGCUUACCGGCCUAUGGAGCCUCCAGUAUCUAGAUGUGAGCGGCAACCGCUUCACCGGCACCAUCCCAGCGUUGCUAUCUGGACUCCGGAACCUCCAGCUUCUCGGCCUGAAUGACAACCUCUUCACCGGCACCAUCCCGGCGGACCUCGGCGAGCUGGCGAGCCUUCACAUGCUGUAUCUGGCAAACAACCAGUUCGAUGCAGGCCAGCUGCCGUCGUCGUUCAAGAACCUGACCAACCUGGUCAGCCUCUGGGCGUCGCAGUGCAACCUCGUCGGAGAGUUCCCGAACUUUCUUUGGAGCCUGAAGGAGCUGCAACUAUUGAAUCUGUACACGAACAACCUCACCGGCAACUUGGUGGUUGAUGGCCUUGUUGCGAGGAACUUGACAGUAAUCGACGUCUCGGAGAACAAGAUCACUGGAGUUAUCCCGAGUGUUUGGGAGCUUGGAGAACCUCAGAGACUUGAACUUCUUCAUGAACAACUUCUCCAGCGAGAUACCAGCCAGCAUCGGCCGGUUGCCCUCACUGACGAGGUUGAGGCUCCACACCAACAUGCUUAACGGCACGCUCCCACCGGAGCUCGGAAAGCAAUCGCCGGGCUUGAAUUAUGUUGAGGUUGAUUACAAUGAGCUCACCGCCGAGAUCCCGGAAGGGCUGUGCACUGGAGACAACCUCCAGCACCUCACCGCCAAGAGCAACCAAUUGAACGGCUCCAUCCCAGCAGGCCUUGCCAACUGCGCCACUCUUGGAACCCUGUCGCUGGACAACAACCAACUCUCUGGCGACGUACCAGAGGCUCUGUGGACGGCGACGAAGCUUUACCAGAGGCUCUUCCGGCCACGGUGCAUCUCAACCUUUCGACGAUACUCAUAGGGAACAACCAAUUUGGUGGCAACAUUCCGGCUGCACUAGCUGCGCUCCAGGUGUUCACCGCCGAGAACAACCGGUUUUCUGGUGCGAUACCGGCGAGUCUUGGCGACGGCAUGCCGCUGCUGCAAAGACUGAACUUAUCCGGUAACCAACUGUCCGACGGGAUCCCCAGAAGCGUUGCUAAGCUAAGCCAGCUGACGGAAAUGGACCUGAGCAGGAAUCAGCUCACCGGAGGCAUACCGGUAGAGCUCGGCGCCAUGCCGGUGUUAAGUGUCCUUAACCUGUCGUCGAACAAGCUCUCCGGCAACGUGCCGCAGGCGCUUGCGAAGCCGACACUCACCGCCCUAACCUGUCCUCGAACCAUCAGACCGGCCAGGUCCCGGCCGGGUUCGCCACCGCGGUCUACGACACCAGCUUCCUCAACAACCCCGGCCUCUGCACCGCCGCUUGGGGACCUGGCUACCUCACGGGCGUACGCUCCUGCGCCGGUGGAUCACAAGACGGCGGUUCCUCCGGAGGCGUGUCGCACGCCCUGCGCAGGGGAACCUCGCCGUGGCGUUCGCCUUCUUCGUCGUCCGCGACAUCAAGAAACGGCGGCGCGUCGCGGAGCAAGACAACUGGAAGAUCACGCCUUUCGUCAAAGAUCUGGGAUUCGGUGAGGCACCCAUACUCCGGGGGCUGACGGAGGAGAACCUCGUCGGGCGCGGGGGAUCGGGGCGCGUGUACCGCGUCGCCUACACCAACCGGCUUAACGGCCGAGCCGGCGCGGUGGCCGUAAAGCAAAUACGGACCGCCGGGAAGCUCGACCAGAAGCUGGAACGCGAAUUCGCGUCAGAGGCUGGCAUCAUCGGCAACCUCCGGCACAACAACAUCGUCAAGCUCUUGUGUUGCCGCUCCAGCGCCGAGUCCAAGCUCCUCGUGUACGACUAUGGACAACGGCAUCCUGGACAGGUGGCUCCACGGCGACGCCCUCGUCGCCGGCGGGCGCCCCAUGGCGAGGGCGCGGUCCGCGCGGCGCGAGCCGCUGGACUGGCCGGCGAGGCUCAGGGUGGCCGUCGACGCCGCGCAGGGGCUGUGCUACAUGCACCACGAGUACGAGCCGCCCAUCGUCCACCGCGACGUCAAGACGAGCAACAUCCUGCUGGACUCGGAGUUCCGGGCCAAGAUCGCCGACUUCGGGCUGGCCACAGGAUGCUGCUGCAGGCCGGGGCGCCGGAAACGAUGUCCGCCGUCGCUGGCUCGUUCGGCUACAUGGCUCCUGGUAAGGAUUCGAACUUGCUGCUUUCAGUGAAUUUCUGUCCCAUUUCUACAAAUGCCACGUGUUCUCGUGUUGCCGGACCUUAGAUUGGGCCUUUUGAUGCUUAUCUGCAGAGUGUGCUUACACCAAGAAGGUGAACGAGAAGGUAGACAGCUUCGGUGUCAUUCUCCUGGAGCUCACCACCGGAAAGGAGGCCAACAACGGCGGCGAGCACGGCUGCCUGGCGGACUGGGCACGGCGCCACUACCAAUCAGGAGGGAGCAUCGCCGACGCCACAGACAAGAGCAUCAGAUACGACGGGUACUCUGACGAGAUCCAGGUUGUCUUCAGGCUCGGCGUGCUCUGCACCGCCGAUAUGCCGUCGUCGCGGCCAACCAUGAACGACGUGCUGCAGAUCUUGGUCAAGUGCAGCGAGCAGACGUACCACAAGGGCAAGACGGAGCGUGGCCCAGAGUAUGAGGUGGCUCUUCUACCCAAACGCGGCAGUCGCCGGAAACAGCUUUCAAACGGCUCGGGGAUUUACAUCGAAGAGAAGAUGACAGCAUUGUCUGAAGAAAGGAACUGACCACUGCAUAUGCCAGUAAGCAGCUUGUGACAUCGUCAGUGAACUGCUUGCUAUAGUGAUACUUCACAUUUUAGCAGAGUACAGCGGAGAAUUAUGCCUCUAAUCUUUUUUUUUCUGAGGAGCUAAGUAUCUUUAUAUUAAAAAGAGAAUAUAAAUAGAAAAAAUCAGUCCAUUGGAAGCAACCACUCUAGCUCACCUAGGAGAAUAGAGAGAUUGCAUAAACAAGCGAAGAAAAAACCGUCACCAGACCUUGACCCUGCACGGCUGGACUAGGGACAUGCAUAGUAUAGAGCAGGGCUUGUGGUUAGCCAAACCGUUCUGUGUAUUGAUACUGCAAAUCUGUAUUAAAUCACACACACAUUAUACGUUCCGACAGAAGAACUAGCAAACAUUACGAUUAUACUCCCUCCGUUCUUAAAUAUAUAACGCUAUUGACUUUUUCAUUUGUUUGACUAUUCAUCUUUUCUACAAAUAUUUUUGCAAAUAGAUAAAUCUACGAGUUAAAUCUAAAGUACAUUUCACAAUAGUCAUAAUGAUACACAUUUUACUUUAGUUAACUAACUCAUUCAAUAGAUAUUGAUGGUCAAAGUUGGAGUAAAAAGCCAACAGCAUCAUAUAUUUAAGAAUGGAGGGAGUAAUUUAUUUCUGAAAUAAAGGCAGGAGAUGGAGCUCUGCUUAUCCAUUCAGAAAUUAGUACGAUUGAAUGAUUUUGUCUCCUUCCAGUUUUUAUUGUAAAACACAGAAUAUUACACGGAUAGGCACUGAUUGUUAUCCGGAAGAAAAUGAAUUUUUAUAUUUCAAAAGAAAAGGCCCAAUUUGCACCCUCUAGCUAGCACGAUAAUCCAAUUUUCAGCUAAACUGACCAUGGGCCGGCCCAAAGGCACAGGAAUUUGGCCCGGUCUAGGCAUGGCGGCCGUCGUGCUCGUGCUAACCCGACCCACACCAUGGGCCGUGCUUGGGCCGUUGCCUCAGCCCACGUACUGGUCCGGCACGGCCUGCCCAUUUGGCCCGUCGGGAUUAAGUGGGCGGCCCAUCCUAUUAAGGCCCACUCGACCGCAUAUAAAACCCCCCACCCCCAAACGGCCAAACCCUACCUUCCUCUUCGUGUCCCGCGCCCUUCGCCGCCGUCACCUCCCCCGCGCCCUUCGCCGCCUCUCGCGCCCGCCGGCCGCUCACGCCCUCCGCCGCUUCCCCCCGCCGCCUCCCUCACGCCCUCCGCCGCAUCCUCCCACCGCCUCCCUCGUGCCCUCCGCCACCUCCCGCGCCCGCCGGCCUCUCGCUCCCCUGCCACCUCCCCCGCGGCCCUCUGCCGCCUCCUACACCCGCCGGUCCCUUGCCGCAAUUGGGGAAGAUGGUGGCCUGCACGGCGGCGCGCGCAAACGUCCUGUCGUCCCUCGGCGGUGGGAGCUGCGGCACGAGUGGGCGCCUGGGCAGAUCCGGGAAAGGUCUAUGGGCGCCCUGACGACGAGGUGGUCGAAGUCAUCGGGGCUAUCGAACUCGACGACGACAGGCGCUACGGGCGUAUGAGCAGAGGAAGGGUGAAUUCUGUGCCGCAGGCUGGCACGAGCACGGUGAGGCCGUUAAGGCCUGCCAGGCCAGCGUGCCAGCACGGCCCACCUAAGAAGGCUGCGGGUCAUGCCUGGACCGCUCCUUCGGCACAUGGGCCGGCACGGCCUGGCACUAUUACCGUGCAAGCCUAACCGUGCCGGGCCUAACCGUGCCAGGCCAAAUCGUGCUCGUGCCAGGCCGGGUUGGGCUACCUGUUUGGCCAUCUAUACAUCCAACGGUUGAAACCAGAUAAAUUUUAUCCUUUAGCUGGUUUCAAAGAUGUUUUUUUGUUUUAUUAGACAUUUAAAAAAAAUCUGAUUUAAUCUUGUUGGGGGGAAAUAUUAACGAUCCCCUAAAUACCACUUAAAGGAGCAGACGCGAAGGCCCGGGCCCACCUAAGCAUAAUCAAAACUCCGCCUCGCCCGACCGCGGCCUCAGGGUCAGGAACGCCCGACCCCCCUCCACGAGGUUUCCGCCUCGUCCGACUGCGGCCCCAGGGUCGAAGGCGCCCGAUCCCUCGCCACAAGGUUCCGCCUCGUCCGACCCCAAGCGCAGGGGUCGGGCUCGCUGGGGCCCCCAGGGCAGGCAUCCCCCUCGGAUGUGGACCAGGUGGGCAAGAUAAACAAAUCUUGCGGGUCCCCCCCCCCAUCGGCCUCGUCAUAAAUGCGCUGCGGGCCUGGCAGAGGGAGGAAUGACCACGCUCCUCACACAACCCGCCGCAAGUACCCAUGCACGACCAUACUGUACAAGCUACAGCGCUGGCGGCUCACUCCCAUUCGCCGCAGGGUACUCAUGGCCUGCGCCGACCGGAGCGGAGGAGAGACUCGCCUGUCCUCGAGCCCCGCGCACCCUCGGGUCCCGUGCGCCUGGCAUCUAGGAUGUGACGCCCUCUCUCCAGGAGCCAUCAUCAGAAUGGCAGCAUCCACCGUCCUCCCCAACGGACACCGGGAUAACGACGAAACGCCCUCAUCAUAACCCGACGCCUACGGAUGCCGAAGGAGCUAUCUGUAGGGUGCAACGACAGUUGGCGCACGGCCGCCUCCCCCUCCGGCAUGCACGCCGGCGCUCGCCAGGAGCCGGCGGAGGCGUCGGGCGUCUAGGAACUUGUUCCUCCCAUCCUGCCGUAUUUUUUACCGUACUACGUUCACAUUUUACGGUCCUCUUCGCCCGAUCCCAACUGUAACUCUGGCCACUCCCCUUGCGAUAUAAAAGGAGGAACACAGGGCCGGAGGGGGGGAUCGGCUUCUUCCCCCUCAAGCCACAGCAUGCUAGUACGCUCCCUGAGAACAUAGGCUCAAAGAGACUUGGGACCAGUCCCUCUCUCGUCGGUCUGUAACCCCUACUACAGAACCCCGCGUGGGCAAUACGAGCAUCCACGAUACUGGACGUAGGGCUCCCUUUGCUCGAACCAGUCUAAUCCGUGUCUCCCACGCCACCAUCUGAGGCCUUACGCGCAUAAAAGAAAUUUACUAGUCUAAGUCUUGAUCCGCCAAUCUUGACAACGACAGUUGGCGCGCUAGGUAGGGGACCUUUGCGCAUACCCUCCCAGCCUCAGAUGGCCAAUUACGAUAGUAGCUUUGCUCCGGGCUCCCUGAUCCGAUUCGGGAGCCUGGACUUCCUCGCCACCGGGGAAGGGAUCAAGCUGAUCCCUGUCCUCAUCCUGCCCGCUCGCCCGCCUGCCCCCGGCCCCGCCGCCGGGACAGCGGUGAGCGGCCGCUCGCAUACCGGAAGGACCUCGCCAGGGGGACGGCCCUUCGGGCUACGCAAUGCCACGGGGGCCUACGGACGCCUCCUAGCGCGGUCCAUGACCGCGUCGCCCGCGAGCAACGAGCUCGUAGGUGCGACAAGGACGAUCUCCGACACCGGCUCCAGCAGCGGGAGCCCCCACCCCUCGCGUGAGUGCCUCGUGGUCGACGAGCACUCUGAGGGAUCCAACAGCAACGAUGCCGAGGAGAGACAAAGGGCUGCCCCUCGCGCGCCGCGGCUAUGACCGGAGCCUUACCAAGGGCACCAGAGUGCUCUCAGCAACGAGAGGCGCGCGCGGGCGCCCGCCAAGAAGUCGAGCACCCCCACCACGAGGGAGGAGCGCGACAACGGGCGCGAGACGUCCAGCGACGCAUCUGCGCGGAUGAAGAGCGUCCGCAGCUUUUCGCCCGCGCCAGCCAAAACGUCGCAGCCGCGGCGGUGUUGCUCCGACAGCUCCCCGAACCAGCGAUGCCCGAGGAGCGACGGGCACGCCAAGAGAUGCGCGACCUGCUCGAAUGCGCCGCCGUCCAGCAGGCGGAAAGCUCCGCGUCCCGGCGACGCGGGCAGAAUGCCAGCAGGGCGACGCCCGACGCGCCCCCGGAAAGGCGGGGGGAAUCAGUCCAUCUACCCCCUCCUGGGGCGAAUCAGGCCGCGUCCGCCCGACGGACUCCACCACCCGCGGGAGGCGAGGCUCGAUCCGUCCACCAGCGCGUCGGCCUCGUCCGCGACGCCCGCGACACCCUAAACGCGCGGAGACGCUCCCGCGCGGACAGGGAGGACGGGGUAGAUCGAGGCUACCACGUCCACCGUGGCGGGCGCUACGACAGCGGGGAAGACCGCAGCCUGAGCCCCGGUCCGGCUGGGCCCCGGGCCUUCUGUGCGCGCAUCCUGAACGCGCCUUUUCCGCCGCGCUUCAGGCAACCCAUGAGUAUAGCCAAAUACUCAGGGGAGACGAAUCCUGGAGUGUGGCUCAGCGAUUACCGGCUUGCAUGUCAAGCCGGCGGGGCGGAUGAUGACCUGUUUAUCAUCCGCAACCUACCCCUCUUCCUAGCCGACUCAACGCGAGCUUGGCUAGAACAUAUCCCUUCGGGACGAGUUCGCAACUGGAAUGACCUGAAGGAGGUUUUCAUAGGGAACUUCCAGGGCACGUACACACGCCCCGACAAUUCCUGGGACCUCCGGAGCUGUCGUCAGGGGGCGGACGAGUCCCUCCGAGAUUAUAGCCGGCGCUUCUCCAGGAAGCGCACCGAGCUCUCCAACGUCGCGGACGCCGAUGUCAUAGGAGCUUUCCUAGCAGGAACCUCCUGCCGGCCCCUCGUCCACGAGCUGGGGUGCCGAGGCCCGCGAACCACGGAGGAGCUCCUCAAUAUCGCCACUAGUUACGCCUCGGGCGAAGAGGCCGUUGGAGCAAUCUUCGACCGCUCCAAAGGCAAGGCGAAACGGGAGGAGGUUGCUGGCGAAGGCACCUCCAACCGCCAGCAGAAGAAGAAGGGCAAGUUACGGCGCGAGGCCCCCCUCGUGGCCGCAGCUGAGCGCAAGCGAGGGCCGCCGCCCCCCGAGGGCGCUCCCGGCUUCUUCGACAAGUUGCUUGAGGGACCGUGCCCGAACCACGAGUUCCCCGUGAAGCACGCCUACAAAGACUGCAACCUCAUGAAGAGAUACUUCAUGGGCAAUUCGGUGAAAGGCGACCGGAAGCGGAAGCCCGAUGAGGAAAAGAAGGGCGACGAAGAGAAGGAAGACGGCUUCCCCAAGGUGGACGGCUGCUUCAUGAUCUUCGGGGGCUCUGCGGCAUACGACACCAAGCGCCAGUAGAAGCUGGAGCGCCGGGAGGUCUACGCGGCCGAGCCAGCGACUCCGGCCUUCCUGGACUGGUCAGGGCCGGCCAUCACCUUCGACAGGACCGACCACCCUGGACGCGUCCGGCACCCGGGGCGUUACCCUCUCGUCGUCGACCCCAUCGUCGGCACGACGCGCCUCACCAAGGUGCUCAUGGACGGAGGCAGCAGCCUCAACAUCCUCUACGCCGAGACCCUCGACGCUAUGGGGAUCGACCGUUCCCGCCUCCAUCCCAGCAAGGCGCAUUUCCAUGGCGUCGUGCCAGGGAAGCAGGCGAUGCCUCUCGGGCAAAUCGACCUGCGCGUUACGUUCGGGACCCCUUCCAACUACAGGAAGGAGGUCCUCACAUUCGAGGUGGUGGGGUUCCGCGGAACCUACCACGCCAUCUUGGGACGGCCUUGCUACGCAAAGUUCAUGGCUAUCCCCAACUACACCUACCUCAAGCUCAAGCUGCCGGGGCCCAACGGGGUCAUCACCGUCGGCACGACCUUUCAGAAGGCGUACGAGUGCGACGUAGAGUGCUGCGAGUACGCCGCGGCCAUCACCGUCACGAGCGAUUCGGCAGUCCAGCUUGCGGAGGCCACCGAGGACCGGCCCGACUCCAGGCAGCCGAACAUCUCCUUCGAGCCCGCUGAAGGUAUCAAGGAGGUCCCCCUUGAUCCCGGUUGUUCCAACGGAGGAGUCGUGCGGAUCAGCGCGGCCCUAUCCCCCAAAUAGGAAAGCGCGCUCGUUGACUUCCUCCGCGCGAACAGCGACGUCUUCGCGUGGAAGCCAUCGGACAUGCCAGGCAUUCCGAGGGAAGUCGCCGAGCACUCCUUGAACAUCAGGGCCGGUUCCAAGCCAGUAAAGCAAGGAUUGCGCCGUUUCGACGAGGAAAGGCGCAAGGCCAUCGGCGAAGAGCUCCAGAAGCUUCUGGCGGCCGGGUUCAUCAAGGAAGUGCACCACCCCGAGUGGCUAGCUAAUCCUGUCCUUGUACCAAAAAAGAAUGGGAAAUGGAGGAUGUGUGUCGAUUAUAACGGUCUCAACAAAGCGUGUCCAAAGGACCCGUUUCCUUUGCCACGCAUAGAUCAAAUAGUCGACUCAACUGCCGGGUGCGAGACCCUCAGCUUCCUCGACGCAUAUUCCGGCUACCAUCAGAUCGCGAUGAAAGAGGCCGACCAGCUCGCUACCUCCUUCAUCACCCCCUUCGGUCCCUACUGCUACGUUAAGAUGCCAUUCGGCCUCAAAAACGUGGGGGCUACCUUCCAGCGAUGCAUGCUGUAGUGCUUCGGAGACCUCAUUGGGCGGACCGUUGAGGCCUACGUUGACGACAUCGUCGUAAAAUCCCGGAGGGGCGACCAGCUCGUUCCCGUCCUUGAACUAGCCUUCGAGAGGCUGAGGGAUAAGCGUAUUAAGCUCAAUCCCAAGAAAUGUGUGUUCGGAGUCCCAAGGGGCAUGCUGUUAGGCUUCAUCGUCUCCGUGCGCGUCAUCGAAGCAAACCCGGAGAAGAUAGCGGCCAUUAGAGACAUGGGGCCGAUCCGGAACAUAAAGGGAGUUCAGCGCAUCAUGGGAUGCUUGGCAGCUCUAAGCCGCUUCAUCUCGCGCCUCGGCGAGCGAGGGCUUCCUUUCUAUCGGCUCCUGAAGAAGACUGACCGUUUCGAAUGGACCAGCGAGGCCCAGGAGGCACUUGACCGACUCAAGGACCUCCUGACGAAGGCCCCGAUCCUAGUCCCGCCUACCGACGGCGAGUCCCUCCUGCUCUACGUCGCGGCGACCACCCAGGUGGUUAGCGCGGCCUUGGUGGUGGAACGAGAAGAGGAAGGACACGCUCUCAAGGUGCAACGCCCGGUGUAUUUCAUCAGCGAAGUCUUGUCCGAGUCCAAGACACGUUACCCGCAGAUCCAGAAGCUCGUCUACGCCAUCCUUAUCACAAAGAGGAAGCUGCGCCACUACUUCACCUCCCACCCGGUAACAGUCAUUUCGUCAUUCCCGUUAGGCGAAGUAAUCCGGAACCCAAAUGCUACAGGGAGAAUCGCGAAGUGGGCGCUUGAGCUCAUGGACCAGGGUAUCACCUACGUCCCCCGCACCGCCAUCAAGUCCUAGGCACUCGCCGACUUCGUGGCAGAGUGGACGGAGAUUCAAACGCCAUCGGCGCCAGAGAAGCAGGAGUAUUGGACAAUGUACUUCGACGGGUCACUGAUGAGGGCCCGCGCCGGAGCGGGUCUCGUUUUCGUCUCUCCCUUGGGCAUGCGCAUCAGGUACAUGAUCCACCUUCAUUUUCCUGCAUCUAAUAAUGUCGCCGAGUACGAAGCCCUCCUCAACGGACUCCGCAUCGCCAUCGAGCUGGGCAUCCGUCGGCUGGACAUCCGGGGCGAUUCCCAGUUGGUCGUCGAACAAGUCAUGAAGGAGUGGAGCUGCCACGACCCCAAAAUGGCAGCCUACUGCAACGAGGUCCGUAAGCUCGAAGACAAAUUCGACGAGCUAGAGCUCAACCACGUCGCAAGGCGCUUCAACGAAGCCGCCGACGAGCUGGCGAAGGCGGCAUCCGAAUGAAUGCUCGUCCCCGACGGCGUCUUCGUUAGCGACCAGUUGAAGCCCUCAAUCCGUUACCCAGAACUGCAGGGGUCGGCGAAGCACCCCCGGCCCUGGGAUCGGGACCCGAGUCAGGGGAGGUCGGCAGCGCGCCACCUGUCCGAGACCCGAGCACCAGCCCCGAGGGGGUCGACAACGCUUUGCCCAACUCGGCCCCGGGAGCCGAUCCGUCCGACCCCGGGGUCAUGGAAAUCACGGCAGAUUCCGCGGCGGGUGCCGACCCCCCGAUCGAUUGGAGAGCCCCAUACAUCGACUACCUCGUCCGCGACACGCUCCCGGCAGACAAAACGGAGGCCCGUAGGAUCGCGCGCCGCGCCAAAUCCUUCGCCAUCAUCGACCAGGAGCUCUACAAGAAAAGCCACACUGGAAUCCUCCAGCGCUGCAUCUCGAUCGAACAGGGAAAGGCGCUGAUCAAGGAUAUCCACGCCGGAGCCUGUGGUCACCACGCCGCGCCAAGGACCCUCGUUGGUAACGCCUUCCGACAAGGUUUUUACUGGCCGACCGCGGUCGCGGACGCUACCCAGGUAGUCCGCACCUGUGAAGGAUGCCAGUUCUUUGCCCGCCAGACUCACCUGCCCGCGCAGGCGUUGCAGACCAUCCCCAUCACGUGGCCAUUUGCGGUUUGGGGGCUAGAUCUCGUCGGACCCUUCAAGAAGGCACCCGGGGGCUUCACCCAUCUGCUCGUCGCCAUCGACAAGUUCUCCAAAUGGAUCGAGGCAAGACCGGUGGCGCAAAUCAGGUCCGAGCAGGUGGUCCAGUUCUUCACCGACAUCAUCCACCGCUUCGGGAUCCCGAAUUCCAUCAUCACCGACAACGGCACACAGUUCACUGGGAAGAGAUUCCUCCAGUUCUGCGACGACCACCACAUCCGAGUGGAUUGGGCGGCCGUGGCACACCCCCGCACGAACGGGAAAGUCGAGCGAGCCAAUGGCAUGAUACUCCAGGGUCUCAAGCCAUGGAUCUUCGACCGCCUUAAAAAAUUCGACGGACGGUGGGUUGCGGAGCUUCCCGCAGUCCUUUGGAGCCUGAGGACGACCCCCAGCCGGGCGACGGGCUUCACCCCGUUCUUCAUGAUCUACGGGUCAGAGGCCAUUUUGCCCACCGAUCUAGAGUACAGAUCGCCAAGGGUCAAGGCAUACGACGAACAGGGAAACCAGGCAUCAUUCGAGGACGCGCAAGAUCAACUCGAUGAAGCGCGAGACGUAGCUCUACUGCACUCGGCUAAGUACCAGCAGGCCCUACGGCGUUACCACAGCCGCAAGGUGCAAGGCUGAGCCUUCAACGUCGACGACUUGGUGCUCCGCCUCGUCCAAGACAACAGGGGUCGGCACAAGUUGACUCCCCCAUGGGAAGGCCCGUUCAUCGUCGUACAAGUUCUACGGCUGGGCACCUACAAGCUGGCAACUCCCGACGGGCAGGUUUUCAGCAACGCCUGGAACAUAGAACAGCUAAGGUGCUUUUACCCAUAGCUUUUAUUUCCAAGCCCUGCAUAAAACUUGUCUUCAAUUCCGAUAUUUCCUUUAAGCUCAGGGGUAUCCGACCCUGGCCUCGUUCCAGGGCCGCAUACCCCUCGGGGGCUACCAGUUUUGCUCCUCUGCGAAAAAAAAGAAACCCCGAGCCGUCUCGGUUCAGGCCUUUUCCUUUAAGCUCAGGGGUAUCCGACCCUAGCCUCGCUCCAGGAUCGCAUACCCCUCGGGGGCUAUCAGAGGUUCCGACCCCAGCCGCUCGGCCCUAUCUAAAAGAAACAUUUUUUCUUUUCAAACCGAACACUCCCUUUCUAGACCUUUGGGCGCAAAAAAGAGAAGGAUGCGCGAACGGUGCUCAGGCAAGUUUGAUCGGACUGCGAAAAAACCUACGCCCCAGCGGCUACGGCACCUUCGCUCAUCAAAACUUAAUGACGCACCCGACAACGCAUUCUAAACUUUCAAGCCCAAAGGAACAGCAAAGGGGAUCGGGAUCUUUCGCACAACGAAGUCAUAAACAAGCCUGUAUGGCCAUCACAAAAUAAGUUCGAAACUAACAUAAUUACAUUUUGGGCACAAGCCCGGUACAGUUAACUUGACGAGGGGUCGGCAGGAGGGAUGACCUCAUCUUCCAGGAGCUUCGCGAGGGCCUCCGCCGGCGCGGACACCGCUGCAUCAAUCCCGUCCAGCUCAGCUUCGGUGUAAUCAGCGGCGUACCCUUCACUCAUCCCGGCAAAGUUGAUGCCAGAAUAAUGGGAGCCGAAGACCCCGAAGGCUCGCCGCAUGCCGACGUGAAGCGCGUCCAUGGCGAUCUCGCGACGUCGACGGCGUACCCCAAGGACACGAGCCGGCAGAGAGCUCGACCCCUCCUCCGGAACUACGCCAAAGUCGUCACAGACGACGCGGACCGCAUCCCGCAAGGCGCCGUGCUCGCCGUGCUCCGCGUCGAGCAAACCCUUCAGCUUGGCGAUUUCGCCUGCAGGAACCACCCAGAAAAGCCCACCAAGUCAAGAACAGAACACAAAAUGUCACGGGAACGCGGGAACGGAAAAAAAAAGCCUCACCGUCGGCCCAGGCCUUCAACUCGCGCUCCCGGUCGGCUCCUUGAGACACGGCGGACUGGAGUCCCUGCACUUGCGAGCGAAGGCGACCAGUCUCCGCGCUAAGGGCUUCACGCUCCCCCCUCAGCUGUGCAAGCUCCCCGGCAUCACGACGGGCCCUCUCAGCGGCAGCUUGAAGCUCCUCGGCGUCGCGGCGGACCCUCUCAGCGACAGCUUGGAACUCCUCGUGGUCGAGGCGGGCUUUCUCGAUGACGGCUUGGAGCUUGGCCUCCGAUCACCGCGCCUCCUCCAACGCCGCCCCCUCACGCCUUUGCAGGUCCCGAAUGACCCCCUGGGCGGCAGUGACUUGCAGGGACAGGUCCCUGGUGCGCUCCCUCUCCGCGUUGAAGCGCUCCCAGAGACCCUGCUGCAGCCGAAGGAAAUCAGAUUUCCCCCGACUGCCCUCUUGGAGGGCCUGCAAAGCAACGUGCCAUUAGAAAAAAAAAAGCAAAAGGGAGGUGCUGAUCACCAACAGUAGGAGCAACAUACCUGGCUGCCAGGGAGGACGGUGUUACCCAGAACCCCCAACGCCGAAGACAGAGCCGCCUCAACGUGGGCAAGGCCGCCCUGCAUCGCCUGCCACUUGUGCCACUCAGUGGCGUCGUCCAGCGUGAAGAGAUGCCUCGGCGGGUCAUCGCGGGAUGACCAGCGAAGGACAGACCCCCUCCACGCCCUGGGAACGGAGGGAGCCGAGGCCGAGGCAGGGGCCGAUCCUGACGCUGCCGUCAAGGUCGGCACCAUUGCACUAGAAGCCGCCGAGUUUACUGACGGCCCCGGCACCUGCACGCUCGUCGCCGCCGAGGCCGCCGGCGGUAUCCCAGUGGGCCCCUCCGCCUCCGCCGCCGGAGCCACUCCCGCGGGGGUAAUUGGGGCGGAGGCCCCCGCCUCCGUCACCGUUGCCUCCGCCGCCGCGCUUUCGGGGGCAGGCGUUCCCUCCGCCACCGAUCCCGCCGCGGCUGCGGGGGCAUCCGCCCUACCUCCCGUCGCCGCCGUCUCCUCUGCCUCGUCGGCGUCGAAGUCGAUCACCUUCCCGGCCUGAGAACCCGGGGGGAUCGUGCCCUGCGCUGUAGGGGCGACUGGGGGGACCGAAGGCGGAGUAGGGUCCGCUCCCCCUCCCACGGCUGACACCGCCGUCGCUCCGCCGGCCGCCACCACAGGGGCCGCCUCCGCGGAGGGGUCCGCGGCCUCACCAGGGACCCCGCCGCUCGCCGCGGGCGGGACCGCGGUCCGCCCCCCAGAGGAGGUUGACAACCGCAACGCCUUCUUAGGCACCAGCUGCAGGGCAAGGCCACGAGGGGCGGCGCUGCAUAUCGACAAACAGACGUCAGCACAAACGAGCGUGAGAAGAGGAGAGGAACGAGGCGCAAGGAAGGCCAACUUACGUCCUUGAAGCACAAGGGCGGCGCGCGCGCUUCGACUCAGAGCCCGACGCCGACCCCGGGGCAUCUGGCAGCGGCCGCUUGUCGCCACUUCGCUGCUCUCCAGUCGCGGGCACGGCGGUGGAGGCAGUCUCUGCAGAUCUCCGAGGAGCACCCUGAGCGGACUCCUGGGGAGCGCCCCGCGCCGGCUCUGAAGUGGCGGCGGGGGCAGGCUCCGAGGACCCCCGAGGGGCGCUCCGCGCCAGCUUUGGGAAGGAGCCCCGUGUCGACCCCUGGGGGGCACCCUUCACCGACCCCUGGGGAGCGUCCCGCGCCCGCUCCUGGGAGGCACCCCGCGCCGGCCCCUGGGGGGCGUUCCGCGUCGACUCCUGGGGGGCGUCUCGUGCCGGCUCCGAAGCGGCGGCGGGGGCAGGCUCCGAAGACCCCCGAGGGGCGCUCCGUAUCGACCCCUGGGGGGCACCCCUUGCCGACCCCUGGGGAGCGUCCCGCGCUCGCUCUUGGGACACGCCCCGCGUCGGCCCCUGGGGGGCGUCCCGCGUCGUCUCCUGGGGACACGCUGUACUGGCCCCUGGGGCGCAGCCCCAGGGCCUGGUGGAGCCGAAGCCCGGGCGGGCGCCUCCUCCACUUCACCUCCCGCGGCCGUCCGCGGGGGUGCCUCACGAAUGGCGAGGGCGCCCGAUCGGAAGGAGGAAAUCAGCUCCUCCUCAUCAUCAUCUUCCUCAUCUUCAUCCUCUUCAUCAUCGUCGUCAUCAUCGUCGUCGUCGUCAUCGAACACGACCGACCCCCUCCGCCGCCGUUGGAACUCCUUAGCGGCCUUCUUCCUCUUCUUCGCCAUCUCGAUGUCCUUCCGGCGCUUCUGCGCCUCGGCGAGGAGACGGUUGUGCGUCCGCCGCUCAACAUCUUCCGGCACCGGCGGGAGCGAGUGCGCGACCCGGGUUAGCGGACCCUACAAACGCAAAGCAGCUCCACGUCAGAGUGACAAUCGCAAGACACGAAGAAAGGAGGAGGACGCCCCAACUCCUUACCAGAUCUAUGAGCCCGCAUCCGGGCGCAUCGGCGGGUGCCCGGGAAUCGGGUACUCGACGUCCUUGUCCUCCAGCGCCUCCCGAAUCCGUUGCCGGAUCUCGGAAGCGACGAGCGCACCCGUCGCCAAGGCGGUGCCCUCGGUCGGCGCGUCGGGGGUCAUGGCGGCAAGCGGUCGGAUUCAGAGCAUCAGUGGCGCCACCCGUCGGGUGUGGUACGCUCCGAUGACCCCGGCGCCGGUGAGCCCGUCCCGCUUCAGCCGCUCGAUGGCCUGCAGCAGGUCGAAGAACCGCUUCUUGUCCUUCUCCACUGGCCCGUACGCCCACACCUCCGGCGCCGCGUCGAUGGUACGGCCGGUGAAAGCCGGCAGGGGGGAGUUCGGGUAGUUCUUCACAUAGAACCACUGGUUGUGCCACCCCUUGUGGGACGCCGAGGUCUUCAUCGUCAUGUUCUCCUUGGAGCGGGUAUGACGAAGGUGGAUCCCGGCGCACCCGAUCGGCACCGGAGGUGACCGCUGCUGGCUCCCUCGCUUCUCCGUCUUCUGGUACAGGCUCACUGUGAAAAAGUAUUUCCACAGCGAGAAGUGGGGCUCAAUGCCUAGGAAUCCCUCGCACAGGGCGACGAACGCCGCAAUGUGCUGGAUCCCAUUGGGUUUGAGGUGCUGGAGCUCGAGCCCAUAGUAGUGGAGGAGCCCCCGAAAGAAGCGGCUCGAGGGAGAGGCGAACCCCCGCUCAUGGAAGUGAGCGAAGGAGACGAUGUAGCCAGAGAGAGGCUCCGGCACCUGCUCCGGGCCCGACAGCAACCACUCAGCCGCCUCCGUCUUCUCGCAGAGGAGGCCUUUUCGCACCAGGCCCUCGGCGCGCGAGGAGGUGAAAUGGGAGAUCCCCCAGGAACCCAUCGCCGGAGGAGGGAGAUCAACGGAGGUGAGAAGAAAGGGCACGGCUUGGAGCAAAGGAAACGAAGCGGGCACGGACAAACUGAACGCUAGGCUGGAGGGCGGAAAGGCUCGAAUGCAGAAGGCGGGCGGAACCGGCGCGGCGGGCUCCCGUUUUUAUAGGAAAGGUACGGGAGAAGCCAAAUCGACGCCCCGGCCGCCAUAAAUGCGGCGCCAGGUACGCCCCUGCCACGCCCGUUUCCUUUUCGAAAACCGCGCGCACGGCCGGCCGCGAAAACAUCCUAUCCUCCUCGAUUCGCGGGAUGGCGCUUCCCAUAACUCCACCUCCCGGAAGGCACGACGUCCCCCACGUUCGGCCCAGACGUCACGACCGCUCCGUUCUGGCCCAAGGCCCACCGAAAGGUAAGAAAGGGAUACGGGGCUGAAAACGCCCCUACGGCCCAUUACGGUCCAGAGGUUCGAAGGCUGGCCCACCGCGGGAUCGACAGCUGCCUCAGGAUAUCUCCCGAGCAAGGGGUGAGAAGGGACGGGUCCACUAGCGGCCAACACCCAGGCAAGCGAAAGCCAAGGGCGUCCCGACCUCACGUUCGAGUCCCGUCCGGUAUAAAGUUCAUGGUUUUUCCACGGGGAAAGGCAACGAGCCCCCGGAUUCGGCCGAACGGACCCGGGAACUAUAUGAACUGGCCGGCGGGAAAUUGUAGUACGCCACCAGCUUGGCCCGAGCCGGACCCCCCCGAACGGGGACCGGGACUCCACUCGAACCUACCUGUUCGCAGCUCAAAGCGAGCACCACGGUUCGUCCAACUAGGAUAACGUGGCACGGCUCAACCCCUCCGUCCUAGCGAACGGACGCUUGAGGGGCAACGACCAAAAGUCGACCUGGCCUCCCGACCGGUCUCCCGCAACGAGCAGGGGCUCGGGGGCUAGCAUCGCAACCAACGACCAUGCGUAUGGUCACGAUUCCCAGGCUCCCCGGCCAAACCGGGAUGAAGCAAGCGCACCAUAAACAAAAUCCACGGAGAAACGGCGAAAGAAGCCUCCGGAGGAGCACUUUUUGCUCCACCACAGGCUCGGGGGCUACUGUUGGGGGGAAAUAUUAACGAUCCCCUAAAUACCGCUUAAAGGAGCAGACGCGAAGGCCCGGGCCCACCUAAGCAUAAUCAAAACUCCGCCUCGCCCGACCGCGGCCUCAGGGUCAGGAACGCCCGACUCCCCUCCACGAGGUUUCCGCCUCGUCCGACUACGGCCCCAGGGUCGGAGGCGCCCGACCCCUCGCCACAAGGUUCCGCCUCGUCCGACCCCAAGCGCAAGGGUCGGGCUCGCUGGGGCCCCCAGGGCAGGCAUCCCCCUCGGAUGCGGACCAGGUGGGCAAGGUAAACAAAUGCUGCGGGUCCCUCCCCCGUCGGGCUCAUCAUAAAUGCGCCGCAGGCCUGGCAGAGGGAGGAAUGACCGUGCUCCUCACACAACCCGCCGCAAGUACCCAUGCACGACCAUACUCUACAAGCUACAGCGCUGGCGGCUCACUCCCAUUCGCCGCAGGGUACUCAUGGCCUGCGCCGACCGGAGCGGAGGAGAGACUCGCCUGUCCUCGGGCCCCGCGCACCCUCGGGUCCCGUGCGCCUGGCAGCUAGGAUGUGACGCCCUCUCUCCAGGAGCCAUCAUCAGAACGGCAGCAUCCACCGUCCUCCCCAACGGACACCGGGAUAACGACGAAACGCCCUCAUCAUAACCCGACGCCGACGGAUGCCGAAGGAGCUAUCUGUAGGGUGCGACGACAGUUGGCGCACGGCCGCCUCCCCCUCCGGCAUGCACGCCGGCGCUCGCCAGGAGCCGGCGGAGGCGUCGGGCGUCUAGGAACUUGUUCCUCCCAUCCUGCCGUAUUUUUUACCGUACUACGUUCACAUUUUACGGUCCUCUUCGCCCGAUCCCAACUGUAACUCUGGCCACUCCCCUUGCGAUAUAAAAGGAGGAAGACAGGGCCGGAGGGGGGAUCGGCUUCUUCCCCCUCAAGCCACAGCACGCUAGUACGCUCCCUGAGAACAUAGGCACAAAGAGACUUGGGACCAGUCCCUCUCUCGUCGGUCUGUAACCCCUACUACAGAACUCCGCGUGGGUAAUACGAGCAUUCACGAUACUGGACGUAGGGCUCCCUUUGCCCGAACCAGUCUAAUUCGUGUCUCCCACGCCACCAUCUGAGGCCUUACGCGCAUAAAAGAAAUUUACUAGUCUAAGUCUUGAUCCGCCAAUCUUGACAACGACAAAUCUAAAAAUCCAUAACUAAUUAAUUUUAAAUCAUAAAAGUUUGAAACUAUUACCCAUCAUCUUUUUCUAGAAUGUUACCUUUUAUGUUGGUUUUUUUGAGUUAUUUGCAUAUUAUUGUCCCCAUCUCUAGUGUUUUAUUGCUUGUAGUCAAACCUACUAUUUAUUUAUUGUUGUUUUGCAUUGUAUGAUUAUUGGAUGCUAUGCGAUACAAAGAUAAUUGUUCAACAACCAUAUGCAUCAUGAAGAAAUUUCCGGAUACGAUUGAUAUUAGUACAUUAUUAACUUCUUAUCAAGAAAUAUCAAUGAAGUGUUUUAUAUGAAUAUUUUUAAUGCACCUUGAGUUUUUGGAUAACCUUUUUCAUAAAAGUUAAUUAGAUGCAUUCUUAACUAAAUAAGCCAUUUGGUAAUUUUUCAAAAAUGUUUAUUUAGGUAACAGAAAAUUUAUUUAUUUAUUCUGGAAAAAGUUUUUUUUUAACGAAGUUAGCAAGGAAAGCACCUACCUAUUCUUUAAUUGUUAUUUUAGAUCCGUUUAAUUCGCUCCCACGAGAAGUUGAAUAUAGACCUGCAGGAUGUUACUCAGGUGCUCUAACCACUAGACUAGAGUCCCUUUCGCUUCUGAAAAAGGUUUUACAAAAAUCUUUUCCCUAUUAUCUUUUGUUAAGUCUGGGAUGUUGCCGCACGUGGGAAAGAAAGAACGGGAAACAUAGACCGAGACCGCUGCUGCGCCGCCACCAUGCUUCGCCGUUGGAGGGUUAGGGUUCGGGGUUUCGGGUUAUGGGUCAUCGAUGGCGCGGCUAUCUCCGAUGUGGCUGGGAUAUAUGGGAGGUUGACGGUGGCUAGGUAGCAGGCGGUGGUGGCGGGUUGUGUGCGGGAUGGCGGGACACCACCAGUUCCGAUUUGUGGAAGACAAUAGGUGGCCUCUAGAGGCAGCGGGGGAAUCUUGGUGAGCUUCCCGCGCGGGGCUGGGUUAGGGCGGCGAAGGAUGGUGGCGGUGGAUGUGGCAGCGCGAGCCGCCGGAGAUGAUGGAGGAUGGCGGCGCGGGCGCGAGCAAAGGAGGACAGUGCGAUGGUGAUCGAGGGUUGCGACCGGCGACGCCGGAUGCAGUGGCGAGAGCCGUCGGAGCUAGAGGAGGAGGGCAGCGCGGGGGCAUGGGCGUGCGCGCUCCUGGGCUGCCAUCACUGAAGGUGACAUUGGUGAUUUUUGUCACCUUCUGUGAUAUAUAGAUAUAGACAUGCUCUAGAUAGAGGACUCCUUGGAGAGACCCCGAGAAUGGAGAUGGGCAUUUGGAGCUCUUCCAAAAUAAGGAAUCUAGAGGACUUGCUAGAAUGCAUUUUUUUUGACUUGGUCCAUUGGAGUUGUUCUAAGCCAACAACUAUUAGCAUCCUUUUAGAUAACUCUGUUAAUCUGAAAUACAACAGUUUCCUACUUUAUGUAUAAUGAGUGUCAUUGCGUCACUACGUACGAGGUCUACUUUAUGGCGGAUCUGAAGGUGUGUUUGGUUGGGAUGUGGCUUUUGGAAAAGCUACUGUGAGCUGUGGGCUGUGAAAAAGUAGCGGGGAGAAAGCAGCUGUGGGAAAAGCAGAAGACCGUUUGGUUAGAGCAGCUACGAAACUGUAGGUUGUGUAAGAAAUACCUGUAAUGCCCCUAAAGGUCUGCGGGUGUGUUUACAUGCAAAUUGCUCAUAACAAAAUAAUGUGUUCACUAAUUCACAUGUAAAUGACUAUUUUAGAAAGGAAAAAAAAUAAAUUUUAUAUGUUCUUCAUCCAUAUAAGUGAUUGGUCCACAUAAAUAGAACAAUAUCCAUCAAAAGGUUUAUACAAUGAUGUCAUCUCUCAACAUUACUGUCCUCCUCUCGCACUAACCAAAGCAUCAACUAUCCUAGCAUGAAUGAUAUUCAUGGUAUCCUCAUUCUCCAUAUCGUCACUCUCAUCUCCUUGUGUUUGUCUCGUGCCACUUGUAUAUUGUACCAAGUACUCCUACAAAACCGAGUUAGUAAGGUACAUAAUAAUACACGUAUUUCUAACUUGAUGAAGGAAUCAUGUAUACCUUUAGGAGGCACGAGAAAUAUGUCUCAAAGCAUUGUCGAGAAAAUUGAAAGAAAAGAUGAUGAACAAAGGAGGGUCAAUUCUUGUUGCUCUUUGGACUAGAGGAUUGACGAUGAUCAUUGCAGUCCUAACAAUUCUCUUGUUGCAGAACAGAGUAGCAACUUCUGAGUAGCAUAUGAUUCUUACAUCUUCCAGGCGAGGUGGCUAGUGUGCUGGAUGAAGUUGAGGUCCCUUGGCAACCUGGCAAACGCCUCCGUCAUGUCUGCAGGCAAAAUUUCCAAAAAAAACAAGAAGAUUUCAACACCACCAACAAAGCAAGCAUGUAAUCACCUGAUUAAUCAAUCAGCAAACAAUUCACAACUAGCAAUCUGUAGAAAUUAGCACGCCAUUACCGUCCUGGGUGAUGAGCGGGUAGUCGGAUGCGUUGAGGUUGACGAACCAGUCCCAGCGGCGGUGAAGGCGGAGCAGCAACGCGACGGCGUGCAGCGUGGUGGUGAGCAUGGUGGGGCCCCGGUAGGUGACGAGGUUGGGCCUGCCGACGAUCCACACGUUGCCCGCGAUCGCGUACACACCCCACCUGGACAUGAGCUCUGCCAGCCGGCAGUGCUCCUCCCCUGGACCGCAGGUAGUUGUUGGCCGGGUGGUACAGUGCCGCCAGCAGCCGCAUCGUGCGGCCCACUUCCCCUGAGGAUGCCGAGAUAAGGUAUGCGAACGAGAUCGGGUACCGCGGCGCCUCGCCGGCGGCACCGUCGAAGGCGGCCAACGAUGAGAGUGUUGACGUCGGUUUUUGACACGUGUCAGGGUCGACGUCAAGAGGAGAAGAAAGUGGCUGAUGCGGUUAAACAAGAAGCUAUGGCUAGAGAAAUCAGUCAGUAAAGCUAUAGUGUUUCAGCCGAUUAGCUAAUGAGAUAGAUGAAGACUGGCCGAUUGGAAGCUAGAAAAGCUCGGCCGAUAUGGGCCUAAAUGGGCCAAGGUGGUAACAAGAUGAAGAUAGGAUUGGCCCAUAGAGGAUUGGAUGGUGUUCGACUCCGAUACAAGUUGUAUCCGUAUGUAAAUAUUUGUUGCUUUGAAUAAGAAAUAGAAUAUUGAGUCAUAGUCGGUUAGGAAACGAGUUGUAACAGGGUAUAAAUAGGUGCCCCGUGAGGCUGGCAAAAACAUCAACAAACAUCAAUACAAAUCUACUUUUUCAUGCAACUUUACUUUCAUGUCGGCGACUUUGCCAAACCCUUUUCUUUUCACGAGUUCGUGUGAGUUGGCAGGGCUGCAUCAACGUGAUCUCCGAGCAAUUUGUAAGUUCCGCGUUUCGAGUAAUAUAUAAGCUUUAACUUUGGGCGUAUCGCUGUUGUUUUGUUUAGAUUUAUUCACUAGUUAUCGAUAUUUGCUAGAAUUAUAGGUUUUAUUCUCCGGUGGAAAGAUUGUGCCUUUGCCUGUAUUUCUCUUGCACUAAACUCAGGCGAUACCUAUUAUCGGCGGAAUGUGUGGUCGCGUGUAAAGUUGAUGUUGUCAAGUAUAUGUUAUCACUGCCGAUCUUGAAGGGAAGGAUUGGAAAAUGUAUUCUGGCACUCUCAGAAUUCGAUCUCAGGUACGAAUCGGCCAAGGCCGUCAAGGGUCAGGUAAGGCUGAUUUCGUCACCCAACACUGUGGAUCAGAAAUUACUGUCGUUGAGCCGGCUCCAUGGACUCUGUACUUCGAUGGAUAUUCGUGUGGGAUUGGAUCAGGAAUCGACAUAAUUCUUAUAUCGCCUCGGGGGGCAAGUUAUGAGUUCUCUCUGCCGAUUGAGGCUUCCGCUACUAAUAAUCAAGCAGAAAAUCGGGCUGUCUUAAAGGGCAUCCAAUUAUUGAGGGAGGUCAAGGCUGACGUGGUAGAAAUAUUUGGGGAUUCCAUGAUUAUCGUGGAUCAGUUGAUUGCAAAGUGUGAGUGCAAGGAUGAUAUUCUAAGGAUUUAUUAUGAGGAAUGCCUCCGGUUGCUCAAAGAAUUCAAGACCGUAACUAUUGAACAUAUCCCUAGGGAUUACAAUGAGGAAGCCAAUAGACUUGCCCAGCACGCUUCUGGCUACUGGCCGAUUCAUGGCGCUUUCGCUCUAGAGCUGGCGGCCGACAACUGGAGGAAGGAGAUCGCCGAUUAUUUAAAGGAUCCAUCCAAGAAAGUUGAUCGGCAGAUACGCUUCCAAGCCACAAAGUAUGUGUUACUUGAAGAUGAAUUGUUUUAUCGGACGAUUGAUGGAGUGUUUCUCAAGUGCCUUAGCAUUGAGGAAGCAAAGAUUUUGAUGGGUGAGAUUCAUGAAGGUCUAUGUGGGACCCAUCAAUCGGCUUUCAAGAUGAAGUCGAUGAUUAGAAACAAUGGGUAUUACUAGCUGACAGUACUUGAAGAUUGUUUCAAAUAUUAUAAAGGCUGUCAGGAUUGUCAAAAAUUUGGCAACGUGCAACGAGCCCCGGCCUCGGCUAUGAACCCGAUAUUAAAGCUGUGGCCAUUUAGAGGCUGGGUAAUUGAUCUCAUCGGUUAGAUCUAUCUGCCGUCAAGCAAAGGGCAUAAGUUCAUAUUGGUGGCGAUUGACUACUUCACCAAGUGGGUUGAGGCGGUUCCUUUGAAUGUUGUGAUGUCGGCCAACAUGAUCGAAUUCAUGAAGGAGCACAUCAUUUAUCGAUUUGGUAUUCCUCAGACCAUCAUGAUUGAUCAGGGGUCAAUGUUUACCUCAGGGAGUUCGAGGAGUUCACUGCCAGUAUGGGAUUAAGCUGUUGAAUUCUUCUCCGUAUUACGCUCAGGCCAAUGGUGUGACGACCCCGGUUAAAUCUUUCGAGUUAAUCUUAAUACGAGCCCCAAAAUUCCUCUGUCUCAGUUUUUCCCGAGCAGGAGUGCUCCACUCCAGUUCCUGUUCCUGACCCGUGAAGACUCUAACUCACCCCGCCAGUUCCUUUUAAGUCUCAACAACAGUGUCCCUUUCAAUCUUGAACAGAGGAAAGACCGAGACUGACGGAUGGACCCGCAAUCUUUUCCCCGGAUCUCCCGAGGCAUACGCACUCGAGCGGCCUGCACCGCUUCAGAGCUCCCCCGCCGCGUGGCUCAACUUCUCCGACGCCCGCCGCUUCACCCAAUCGCCGGCCGGGACAGGAUAGAUUCUCACGCCCUCCUCCCCAAUCGCAGCGGAAGCCCCUCUGCAACCCUUUCUGCUGCGCCUCGUCUCGCUCGCGCCCUCGCCGGCCGCGCCUUGGUGCUCCGACACCGCUGUGGCAGAGCUUUGCCGCUUGCUGCAUCCAAACUACCUCGCAGCUCACGCCCGUCAUCAUCUCACUGGAUCCCCGACUGCAAGGCCCGAUGCCUUCCGACUUUUCCACCGCCUCUACACAGUCGCGCUCGCCUGCGCAGCCGCAGCCUGCCUAUCUUUUCACCGGUUGCAACCUCGCUUGUAGCGCCGUUCUCCCUGUCACACCCAUCAGAUCCGCCGCAUGACGACGCCCGCCUCCGCCAAACCUCAACUACCGGCAAAACCGCGCCUGCGCCGCCUUGUCUCCCGUGCCCAAUAGCCAAGGACCCUAUCUCCGAAAUCCUGUUCCGCCGCCCAUCGACGCCCAGUCGCCGCCAUGGCAGCGCACUCCAUCCUUUUCUUCCGGUCUUCGUGCUACUCCAACUCCCUCUCUCUUUCGCGCAGCUAUAAAAAGGAAUGCCAGAGCCCUACUGGAGAUCCCUUCACCAUCGUUGCCUCGCCGCCUUGUUCCUGAGCGCCGCCACCUAAGUUCUUGAGGAACUCUCAUCUUCGCUCAACACCCGCCCCUCCCAAUCCACCAAGCCGCCUGCUCCUCCACGCUAUGCUAGAGCUUCCUUGUUGCUCACAAGAAGCUCCGCCGCCGCCGGAGCACCGCCGGACAUAGCCGCCACCAAAGCCUUAGUGCUUAAGACCUUCCGCCCAAGUCUACUCCUUCCCGACCCCAAAGCUUCACCUAUAAACCAAAGGUAAGCUGCCGACCCCUUACCGGUUCGCCCGACCCUACCUGUUCGCCUGACCCUACCUGUUCGCCCGACCCCUCUUUCCAUCUCGCCCGACCCUGUCUGUUAGCCGGCCCUUAUCUUCUUCGCCCGAGGACUCGGCUGUACUCUUUUCCUUGACCCGAGGGUAUCUGUGUAAGAUUUCGGGGACUUCUCUGUAAUAGCUUUGAGGACCCCAAACACAUUAAGGCUUAUGGGUCAGAUCAUAAGUUCUUCCAAUUCGACCCUUGGUCUUGUUCUCUAUCCACUGAAGCUUGAACCCCCACACUCUUUCCGUAGCUUUGCUACAAGUUUCUGGGCUAAGACUUGCGAGUGUUGCUGUUGAAAUAACCGUCUAGACACUAACUCCAGCAUUGCAUUCGUGUAGAGUUUCAUCUUGCUGACGGCGUCUACGAACUACACCCGGUGCCAGAAGACGGAGCUGUAGCUGAGCUACCAGUUCCAGAAGCCGAAGUCGCACCAGCUGAAGACCCGCUUCCCUCCCCUCCACUUGAAGGCAAGUCCCGGAGCAUGAACCCCAAAGUUUCCCAAACUUGCGCAUGCCUUCUUUCUCAUGUUUGUGCAUUUACGUAUAGGAGUUGUUUGCAACCUUAGAUGCAUGGUAUAGUUCCUUGAUCGGAACACUAGUUGUUGAAUCGAGUAGUUGCUAUGCUUAAAUAGGAAGUGGUAAAAGUCGAGUGAUUUCCUGUCACUCGCGAGUUAUAGGAGUUGGUUGUUCUCCUUCUGUUACAACUAUAAGGACGAUGGAUGGGGCAAGGUUUUGGUUAACUCUUUUGCUAGUCGGCUGAUCCCCCCGUCUGUCUAUGGAAUCUGUUAAGGCCCGAUAGUGGUGGUGUUCGUGAUCAAGUGUUUGAAAGUACUAAUCUCAUACCUAGUAUGGGAUGGGGAAGCCUAGUACCUGAUUGAACUAGGGCGUGGCUUAUACCCCUGCUGUCCCUGGAACGAGGUUCCCAUGGUGCAUCAUGUGGGUGCAAGUGCGGUCACAGUACGGUAGAGGCCGGGAUUGUGGAGCAUUGCAUGCCAAGGGAAGUUGGACCUGACACGUGCCUGGGAAUUGAUGGGGACGGCUGACACAGGAAGCGACCCUUGUGGUGCGCGGAUGUCGUGAGAUUAGGUUUGCCAUGCAUGGUUAAGAAACUCGAAGGAUUCGUCUGCCUCUCACAGUUUGAGACUGCUUGAUCGCUAUGCUACACUGAUUAAUGAAAGAGUCUGAUGAUGACAUGGUCUUGAUGAGUAGCUUAUAUACAUAAAGUUGGAUCUAUGUUUGCUUAGAGUAAGAUGCCAACGUAGACUGGUUAAUGAACUUAGAAUUUGAGCUAAAACUUGAAAGCAAGGACCUAACGUAGUAGCUUUUGGCAAACAAAACCCCUCAGCCAAAGAGCCUUGCAUGUCUAGACGUGGUGGAGUAGUUUUACCACCGGUCGGUUAAGUCUUGCUGAGCGUAGCAGCUCAACCUUGUUUGUGGCUUUCUUUUCAGGUGAAGUCGCAGCUCCUGAGUUUGCUUCCGUUGGCACUUGGCCGCCCCAGCUCCCUCCGGGUUGGACGGUUGAGUGGGAUCCUUCCUCGGACGGUGAGGAGAGGGAUCAUUGAUGUCCUGAUCGGCCUCAUUAGGGACAUCCGACCCUGGCGCUAGCUUCCGCUAAUUUAGCUUUCCGCUGCUUUUGAAUCUUGUAAAACUCUGAUUUUUGUUUUUAUGUUGAACUAAAUUGUCAAACUUGUUUAACUCAGUGGAUCUGUUGUAUUCUCUGAAACCGCUCACCUUCGUGUGAGUUUCGCUAAUCCGGUCCUGUAAGUGGUUUAAUCGGAGGAAAUCCGACGGCCCUUCGAGUUAACUUGACUAAGGCAUAAGUGUCGCGUGUCAGGCGACUUAACAAUGCUUUAAUCAAGGUAAUCCGAGGUGGUUCCACCACAAAUGGUCAGGCCAAGUCAUCAAAUAAGGGGGUUAUUAAACUGAUUAAAAGGAAGGUCAAAAAACAACCAAGACGGUGGCAUACAACGCCGAAUGAGUCCUUAUGGGCUUAUCGGAUGGCUUGCCGCGGUGCCACCAAGGUGUCCCCUUAUCAGUUAGUAUAUGUGCAUGAAGCAGUAUUACCUUGGGAGUUGAAGACUGGGUCUAGACGUGUGUCACUUCAGAAUCAGUUGUCGGUUGAUGACUAUUCCGCCCUCAUGAGGGGAGAAUUGGAAGAUUUGGCGAAUCAACAGCUAAGGGCUUUGAUCAGCAUUGAGGAAAAUAAGAAAAGAGUCACCAGGUGGUAUGACAAGAAGGUCAAGGUCAAAAGGUUUUCCCAAGGGGAUUUAGUCUGGAAGUUGGUUCUGCUGAUAGUAUGGAAAAUGGUCGCCCACUUGGGAAAGGCCAUAACGGAUUAGCCAAUGUGCUCUAGGCAAUGCAUACAUACUGGAGACUUUUGAGGAAGAAGAAUUUACAAGGGCCUUGAAUGGAAGAUAUUUGAAAAGAUACUACCCUAGUAUAUGUGUAGGCGCUUAGCCGAUGAUGUGGCAUAACGGGCUUUCACGGUCGACGCGUACUGAUUCGUGUUCAUAUAGCCGAUGCAAGGGGCAUCGCCUUAAGAUUGAAAGAGGCGAAAUAGUGUAUAUAUAACUAAACCGAUCAUUAUUCGGUACACCAACUAAAUAUAUGGCCGGCAUGAUACAAGUCGCCCUUAGAUAAAAAGUACCGACACAGUUAUGGGUUACAACGAUUUAACAACGUUUCAUGUGAGCUUUAUUCAUAUCGAUUUCUUUCUGAAGUCGAUCCAAUUCGAUCUGGAGUCGGGCGUUCUUCUCCUCUAGUUCUGCCAUGUCAUCUUCAACAGCAACUUGACAGGGUAACAGAUGGCUUCUUUCGACUGAUUGCCGUGGUUGCCUUCUAGAAGCUUUAGCCUCGAUGUCAUCCACAAUCCUCUUGAUAUUCACGGGGAGGUGAUCUCUGAGUUCCUCACGAUGAGUUUGGAUCAGGUCUUUGUCAGCCUGAGUGAGCGGUUCAUCGGAGUGGAGGAUCUCAAUGGCUCGUUCAAGAUCACGGCUGAGUCGGUUUGGCUACGAGAAGAAUUGAUGAUCAAUUGACAGAGGGAUUGGUCGAGAGAUAGGAGAUUGACUUCGUACCUGAUUGACAGAGGAGGAGGAGGCCAUCUUGGUCGCUCGAUCGAAGAUUUGUAAGCGCGCGCAAGGAAUGGUUGAGUGGGUGUUUUGCGAAUGCCUUCAGAAGGGAUGCGAAGGGUUUGUACUUAUAGAACAGAAUGGCAAUGGACAAAGGUCGGUAAAAGGAGGGCAUUUAAAGAAAGCGACCGUUGAGUCAUAAAAGCUACGUGAGGACUGUUCAGACUUGCAUUUCAGACAAAAACGCCAAAAGUAUCAACGUUACACAAGAUGUUCAAAGGCUGGUUGAGUUCGUUACAACUAUCCGAGGAGAUUGUUUAUGGUCUCAAUCGCUCGCAGGCGAACUUGGUUGGCCACCUCCAACACUCGCCGAUCAUCAUCGGCUGAUCCUAAGACUUCUGGCGCAUUGCGAUGAAGAUGGAUGGCCUCGUGAGUGAGGGAUUGUCUUUCUUGUUUAAAAUCAACGAUGGCGGUUGGAAGAUCUUCAAGUUUCUUUUCUUCGGUAGCGAUAGCCUUUACGACCAGUUCCAUCUCCUUGGUGAGCUCUGCUCUGCGCCAUUUGAGUUGGUCUAUUUCACUGAUGAUGCUUGGAUGAGAAGUCUCAUGGAGACCGAUCUACCGAUGUACGUGUUGUGCACGGUGCUUGUAGGACUCUUCUUCUUGACGCACCAUCUCCAAUUUAGCACGGUCAGCCAUGUGUCGCAAGGCUCUAAACACCGGGACCCGCAUGGUUUCGAUAUAUGCUGCGGGUGUGAGAACCUCUUCUGCGUCUUCUGGGACUUGGCCUUUGAUCUCGUUGAAAAUCCACCGUAUCAGUUUGGCAUCUUCCACCAAUCGACCGAUGUUUUCCUGAAGAAGGGUUCGCAUGUUUUGGAGCUUGGCACGGACAUCUUCUGGUAUUGAGCUCAGAGUUAUUUGGCGUGAUGCAACUUCUUCGUCAUCAGAGACCGCAAUUGCAGAGGAGAAGAGGCUUUUGUUUGGCGUGUCUUACUCCUGCAGGGAUGUGGGAAAGUGUUUUAGCCGAUAAAAGUAAAAAAUCGGCUGGUAGAUAUAGAAGGUUCUUACCUCCUUCAAACAAAUCUCUUCUGCUUGGGUUGGCAGAGUCGUUACUCCCACCUCAGAAGUUUGCGGAGGUAGCUCAUUAGAGGGGGAAGACUUGACAAUGAUCGGCUCUCUAGGCGUAGCUGAUAAUGUGCUUGGACCAGCCUCCUGGAAAAGGAACAAAGGAAUCAUUUUUGAGUAUAAAAUAAUACUGGAUCUAAGUAGAAGUCUCGGUUUUCUUACCUCUCGGACGCGCGCAGCCAACGGUAGCACCAGGGGAAUGACUGACGUAUCUGGAGCGUCCUGUGUCAAGAAUCGUCUGAUUUUAGUUAUCAGAACUGUGGAGACUAAGGGAAGAGCAUGUUCUUUACCUCAAUUUGAAGAUUUGUAGGUAACACAAUUUUAGCUUGAGAAUCGGCCAAUUAAGGAACAGUCUGCUCUAGGAUAGGUUGUACGGCCUGUUGAAAAGAAACAAAUUUAGUAUUGGUGAUACAUAUGAAGAAGUCAGAGCAGAAAGAUUACUCGUGUAGCUUUCACCAAGAGUAACACAAUCGCCGACCCAGCCUCUGAUGCUGCUAGGGGAUCAAUGUCCUGAAUUGCCGACAAUACAUCUGCUUGGAUUGGUGCGGCUGAGGGCUCGACCGAUGUUGCUGCCGAUUGGUGGGUUGUUCGAGUUGUCGUAGAUUCAGUACGAGCUCAUACCCUGCGACUCGUCUUCUUUGUGGUGGAUAUUUUGAGCUUAUGCUUCAAUCGGUUGGUGGCUAUGUCCUCCAUUGAUGGGGCGUGAUAGCCGAUGAGAGGGUACGGUGUGUACGGAUGAUGGGUCUGUAUCAGUCUGCCACUCUAACUGUGCGUUGGAGGCACUUGGCUAUCAACCUGUGCAGGGUAAAAGGAUAAUGAUAAGAAAGUUCUGCAACAUGUGAAAAUUAUUGGUAAGGAAUCGACAAAAAAGUAUUGUUACCUCUGCAUUCGGAUCAGUGUGAGCGGGGUCCAGUUGAUUGCAAUACACUGCAGGGGCCGCACAGGAAAGGUACUGUUUCCACUCGGCCCACCACAAUUUGAAUUGUUGAGUGGAGAAGGGGACCACCAGCCAAGCGCUCAGAUCGAUGGUGUCGGAAUCCGGUGUCAGAUUACACAAUCUGUUGUAUUCCAGUCCUUUUGAAAUCGGUUCUCAAAAUUUCACUCGGCCGACGAAGUGAAUCCGAUUGGUAUUUGUCCCAAGCCAAAUUGCCGAGCUGCUACCGACGGGUUAUAGAACUCAUAUGUUGGAGAGUCCUUGCCAGAGAAGAAAUUUGCCGGUAGAAUCCCAGGUUGAUCAGGGUGUCCAUGAUUCCUUCAUCGAAGGUAUCGGUAGCCUAGUCAAAACAGUCAGGAUUCUAAAAAGUUGGGUUCUCUCUCUGAUAUGGAUACCAAUUCGUCACCUCUUCUUUAAAGCUGUUGUAAAAGCAUCUAAAGUGCUCGGCUAUUCUUGAGGGGGCAAGCUUGCCGCCUGGGAAAGUGGAUACGGCUUCACUAAAGGAAGUACAGCGGCGUCUGGCCAAUGGGUCGGUUUCUGAUUUAACAUUAGGAAAGUCUUGGUCUCAAUCCGCUCCUUGAAGAUUUCGCUCAUAUAUAAGUUGAGCUAGAGAUUGACAAACCACCAAGGACCACCAGGAUUCCUGAUAGGUUCUCCAGAUGAUAGCUUCACGCCGAUGUGAUGCAGCAUGUAAUACACUGACCCUAGUAGAUGCUUUCCCAAAGGGACUGUGGCUCCUCUAACUAGUGCUUCGGCCAAAGCCUGUGUGUUGGAAGUAGGACUGGCUAAUUUACCACAGAAGACAUACCUUUCCUGCCACAUCAUCAAGAAGGUCGUGUGCUCUUUUUCUGUGUUGGGUCCGGUCCUCAUGUUCUUCUCAAUGUAGCCUUUCCAUGUGCUGAUGGCUUUCGUCUCCAGCCGAUGGGUGGGUUUGAUUAAGAAAUCGAAAGGUGAGUCGGUGGAGGAAACAUCGAGGCCAGUCAGCAUCAGAACAUCGGCCAGGGUUGGAGUCAUUGGCCCAUGGUCGAAAAGAAAUGCAUUGAGAGCAUCGGACCAAAAGUAAGAUGCCGCGAUGAGCAGAGAUUCUUUCUUUUCCAUAUGAGAUAGAGAUAAAUUUCUGCAAUGGCCGAUUUUUCGCUCAUCCCAGAAGACUCUGUUGGAAUUUGACAUUCUAAAAAACCAAUCUCUCCAUCCGGGGGUUUGAUUCGGCCAAGACUUGAAAGUGUUCGCCCAAUUGUCUAGUUCCAUGGUCGAUUGCUUAAAAGGGAUCCUGUGAGUUUCUAGUUUAAUCAGAUCGGUUGGGUUAGGAUCUCCCAUAGAGCCAAGAUCGAUGAAUCCAGGGGUGUUGGCCAUGGGAUGGUGAUUCUUUGCCUGAGUUCUUGAGCAAAUGCGAAGAAAGACUAAGAACAGAUCUAAAAUCGCGAAAAGAUGAGGAGAGCCUAGAAGACUUACCUCAGGAACGAAGGUCAUGGUAGCUAUGGGUGCCACCAUUGGAGCUUGGGAGUUGGUGCGGUCGGUGAAGGACGUGAGCAAGUCACUGGAGUGCGCUGGGAUGUGCCUAGAAGUGGCACGAGCAAGGUCGCUGGGGUGUGCCGGGAGAUGAUUCGCUGGAAAGGAAACCCUUUUCGCCCGGAGGAAGAUGAAGCGGCGGAAGAGAUGAGUAUCUGCACGAUGACUCGGGAGAAGGGUAAAUAUGAAAUUUUUACCACGCCGUCUGCGCUAAUUUCGAAAGGAGCGGUUGCCUACAGGUGCUCAGUUCGAAAAAAUGCAAUCAUCAAGGAGAAGAUUUCGGGAGCAAAGAGGGUUUUGCUGCAUUUAUUGUUGCGUCUUUUCUGAAAGAAGGAAUCAGAGUUGAGAAAAUUUCGGAGAAAAAGAUAUGUUUCACUAUGAAGCUGGGAGGCAUGUGUUGAUGCCAGUUUUUAACACGUGUCAGGGUCGGUGUCAAGAGGAGAAGAAAGUGGCCAAUGCGGUUAAACAAGAGGCCAUGGCUAGAGAAAUCGGUCAGUAAAGCUAUAGUGUUCUGACCGAUUAGCUGAUGAGAUAGAUGAAGACUCACCGAUUGGAAGCCAGAACGCUGGAUUUUGACACGUACUUGAAAUCGGUGUCAAAGAAGGAGAAAGGGGGGCCGAUGCGGCGGACUAGAAGCUACAGUUGGGAAUCGGCCGAUUGAAGCUACAAUGUUUCAGCCGAUUGGCGGAAGAAAUUGGUGGAGGCUGGCCGAUUGGGAGUCAAAGCAGUUUGGCCGGUUUGGGCCUAAGGUGGGCCAGGAUGAAUAUUUGCUGAAGAGACAGGCCCGUGGGAAAAUAAUAACCAACUCGAAUACGAGUCGUGUUUGUAACUAUUUGUUGUCGUUUGAAAUUAGAGAUAGAUUCUAGUCGGUUAGGAAAUCAGUUCCAACACGCUAUAACUAGCUACCUCGAGAGGCUUGUAAAAAAAACAACACAUCAAUCAAUACAAAAAAAAUUACUCUUUCCUCGUACUUUACUUUCAAGUCGGCGACUUCGCCAAAACCUUUUUCUUUCACGAGUUCGUACGGAUUGGCAGGGCUGGAUCUACAGGAUCUCCGGCCGAUUCUGUAAGUUCCACUUAUCGAGUAAUACUAAGCUUUAACUUCGGGCGCAUCGCUGUUAUUUUGUUUAGAUUUAUUCACCAGUUAUCGAUAUCAACUAGAGUCAUAGGUUUUACCUGUUAUUUUAGUUUUUAUCACCAAUUAUCCAUCUUGAGGUACGAACUGUCGGUUUUUAUUAUUCUUAUCCUUUAUCAUCACAUAGCCGAUUAGAUCUACUCCAAGUUUUGCUUCUGUAGUGUUGUUUAGGUUGCUGUAAAAGUUUUCCUUAUGAUUGCUACAUGAGUAUCGGCUGUCUUAUAGCCGGUCAUCUCUACGGUAAAUCGGCCGAUUCGCUGAUACGCUCUUCAAGACAGAUCGGAACUCUAGCCGAUCGAAACCCCUAGAAUUUAAUAUUCUUCUUUCCAUGUCAAUCAUUAGGUCAGAUUGACUGGCAUGCCGCGCGAACCGCACUAGGGCAAUAACUCGAACAGGAGCUAAGUAGAUUCUCCUGGGUCGUGUGUCCGACGCUGAGGGUCAUCGGCCAAUUUUCAGCACCAACACACUUUUGGCAUGCCCGGUGGGACCAAACAAGAUCCAACAUGUCGAAGGCUGCUGAGAUCUUUGAAGAUAACGUCCUUGAAGUCAUUGAAGAAAAUCUCAAGGACGAUCAGAAGGAGGAACUGGCGAGGGCUAUAGAAGAAUACAGGAAGACAUGCCUGCAAUCUUUCAUUCGUACCAGAAGCGGGGAGACAGUCAAGAAAGCUCCUCUCUCCACUUCCCGCCAAAUCACCGUCAUCGAGGACUCAGGGAAGAUGUCUGAGAUGAUUCAACAGUCCGUUUAUCAGGCUAUGAUUGACCAAUCCACGGUGAUGACCAACACUGUAUACAACGCCAUCAUCAGCUCCUUGGUUAGCGGCGUAGCUCAGGGGUAUCAGGGACUAGCGUAUGCUCCUCCCAUCGUGGCACCGAUCAGAGGCUUCUUAGCAGCGCCAAACGUGUGUCACUCGACUCCUCAACUAAUGCAGAUGCAACGUGGAGGGUACUACACUUCAAUGCCCCUGGGGUACAAUGGUGCAUCAUUCUAUCAAUCGCAAGAACCGUCUCAUCCUAUGCCAAUUUCAUCCAUACAAUCGCCGCUCUCAAACUCGGCGCCAUGGGGGGUAGCAGCAGCAACCGCCGGUCUGGAUCCGUCAACCAGUUAUGGAAAGUCUCCAGUCCAGGCGUUAUUCCAAUCGGCCGAGGCCGAUAGCCCCGCAAUACCAAACAACCACUUCAGAUAUCGGCAGGAGGACAGGCGCUCUAGAAACACUCAGGGUUGCGGCGUCGAUAAUAUUGUACGAUGAAGUGACAGAUACACUAUGUCAGCAGCCAUCGGCUACUCAGCCGACAACCCAGCCACAAUAUCUGCAGAACACUCCAGUUUAUCACCCGAUCAUGGAACCGCAAAUCCAACAGCACGUACCGAUUCCUCAGCCGGUCGUGCAUCAGCAGCAGGUUGAUUGGACCGCGAAGAUAGCAGAGGUAAUUCAAGAUCAGUUUGUGUUAAAAGCAAAAGUACAAACUUACAUGUACAAGACGCCAUACCCACUUGCCUACGAUCUGUUACCGUUCCCUCAUCGGUACAAAGUCCUUGACUUCACCAAGUUCUCGGGCCUAGACGACACGUUGACUGUCGAGCACGUUAAUAGGUUCAUCAUCCAGUGCAGGGAGGCUGCUACGCAAGAUGCUUUGAUGGUGCGCUUGUUCUCGUCAUCCCUAUCCGGAUCAGCCUUGCAGUGGUUCACUACACUGCCGCCCAACGCCAUCGUUACCUUGGCCGAUUUGGAAAAGCAAUUCCAUAAGUACUUCUAUGCGGGAAUCCACGAGAUGAAACUCUCAGACCUAACUAGCCUCAAGCAAAGAAGCGAUGAGUCGAUGGCCAGCUACAUACAGAGGUUUAGGAAAGUUAGGAACAAGUGCUACACCUUGGUCUGGACUGACACCCAACUAGCCGAUAUCACCUUCCAAGGACUCCUGCCACACAUCAAAGAGAAGUACGCCUCCCAGGAGUUCGAAAGCUUGAGCCAAAUCGUCCAUCGGCUGUCCGGCCAAGAGAUACACCCUUUCGACCAACGAAGGAACUUUCAAAAGAAGGUAGCUUAUGUGGAAGGGUCUGAAUCGGGAGAGAAGGCGGAAAUCGGCCUAGCAGAGUCGGUAAAAGGAAAAAAGCCGAUAUCAUGCCCGUUUGGAAAAAAGGAACCAGAAACAUUCGGCUUUGACACGUCAAAAGCCGACAAAGUCUUCGACUUGCUGCUUCAAGAGGGGCAGAUCAAACUUUCGCCUUACCACACCAUUCCGUCGGCCAAGCAGCUCAAAAAGAUGAAAUACUGCAAAUGGCACAAUACCACAUCCCAAGACAAAAAUGAGUGCAAGAUCUUCCGACAAUAGAUACAAUUAGCCAUUGAGCAAGGAAGACUCAAGUUCGAGGUUCCAGCAAAACCAGUGAAGCCGAUGAAGAUUGAUCAACAUCCCUUCCCCGCCAACAUGGUCAAUGUAGGAAGAAACGCACUCCAAACCAAAGUUUUGAUGUUAGAAUUGGCCAGGAGAAGCGGUGCAGUGGAUCCCAAAAAUCAGGCCACGAUCGGAGAUGUCAAAGGAAAAGGACGGAUGGAAGAAGAAGGUGAAGGAUCAGAAAGGCCACGUCGGCCUGUCACUUCCCAAGACUUACUCAGCAAGUAUCAGCAGCAGCGGGAAGAUUCAAGACGCCACGAAGAGAUGAUGCGCCGACACGAAGAUCACUGGAGGUGCCCGUUUUUCAUCCACUGCUGGGAGAAUAACCUUAGAUUACCGUCGGCUGAUAAUUGCCCUGAGUGCAACGGCCAGUAUCGCAGUGGUCGUCCGUUCAAUAGAUCACGCUCCAAGGAUCGAGGGCUAGAGCCAAUCAGCAGAAAGAGGCACGAGCAAGGAGAUCGGCGCGUUUCAGUGCGUGAUCGGCUGGGGGGUAGAGUUGACCAGCAUAAUCGGCUGGGGGGCAGAACCAGCGCACAUGAUCGGCUGGGGGGUAGAACCAGCGCACAUGAUCGGCUGGAAGAGAUAGCUGACGCCAAAGUCUCAGAUGAGAACCUCCUAGGGUGAGAAUCAGGCUGGGAGCGUGCAAAGCCGCCGAGUAAACCAGUAAACCCCAGAUGGUGCCCAGCCGGUUUGACUAAGUCCUUGAAACGGAGGGUCCAGCGUUUGCACCAAUGGGAGCAGCAAGAAGAAAAACAAAGGUAGGUGAUGGAUAACAAAGGGGACAGGUCUCGAGUAUGGCGUCCUAGAAGAAAAUCCGACGCAGGAGACUAAAAUCAUGAUUCGACAGCUGACUUCAGCAUGAUGUUCAUCUUGCCGAUGGAGUUCAUGCCUCCCGCCGACCGGGACAAUGCGAUAGAGAUAGAGGAGCAAAUGGCACAAUUGGCUCUGGAGCCAAUGACCGCCACUUUUGAGAAACCCGAGGAUUAAAAACGCCAACAUCUCAAGGCCCUGUUCCUCAAAGGACAUGUCAACGGACGACCAGUCACCAAGCUGUUGGUAGAUGGAGGCGCUGCUGUGAACAUCAUGCCCUAUGCUAUGUUCCGCAAAUUGGGCAAAGGUAAAGAAGAUCUAACAAAGACGGAUAUAAUGCUCAAGGAUUUCGAAGGCAACGUAUCUCCGGCCCGAGGGGCACUCUGCGUCGACCUCACCAUCGGGAGUAAGGCCCUACCCACUAUUUUCUUUGUUAUUAAUGGCAAAGGCUCCUACAACAUGUUGCUCGAGCGAGAUUGGAUCCACGCAAACUGCUGCAUCCUGUCUACGAUGCACCAAUGCCUUGUCCAAUGUGUCGGCGACAACAUCGAAGUAGUCAUCGCCGAUUCCACCUAUAGCGUUGCCACGGCCGACGCACAACAGUGGAGCUACGAUCACGUCAAAUUCAAAUAUGGUAGGGUUUGGGACACCAAUUUCCUAAAGGUGUCCGAUUUCGGUCUACAGCCAAUCCAAGCAGUCAGCUCUAAAGAAUCAAGUUAAAAUGGAUCAGUUCAUCUGAGAAGAUGGGAAGCUCGGGCACGGGUUUACGUCGGCCGAUUCAUUGGAGAUGGUGGACCUUGGAGAUGGCAACAAGCCAAAGCCGACGUAUAUUCGUGCUAGGUUAGAACCCGAGUAUAAGCAUGAAUUAAUGAGUCUUUUACGAGAAUUUAAAGAUUGCUUUGCUUGGGAGUAUCAUGAGAUGCCUGGUCUAGACCGGUCCAUCGUCGAACACCGGUUGCCUAUAAAACCAGGGCAUUGGCCGCAUCAGCAACCUGCACGACGUUGUAAUCCUAAAAUUUUACCUGAUAUAAAGGCCGAGAUUACAAGAUUAAUUGAAGCAGGGUUUAUUCGGCAAUGUCGCUAUGCCGAGUGGAUUUCCAAUAUUGUGCCCGUAUACAAGAAAAAUGGAAAGUUACGUGUGUGCAUUGACUUCAGGAAUGUUAAUCAGGCUAUGUCGAUGGAUGGAUAUCCGAUGCCGAUGGCUGAUGUUUUAAUAGACGCCACCGCAGGACACAAAGUCAUCACCUUCAUGGAUGGUAAUGCUGGGUACAAUCAGAUAUUAAUAGUCGAAUAAGAUAUUUCAAAGACGGCUUUCAGAUGCCCAGGCCACCUCGGUUUGUUCGAGUGGGUAGUAAUGAGUUUCGGUUUAAAAAAUGCUGGAGCUACGUACCAACGGGCUAUGAAUUAUAUAUUCCACAAGCUUAUUUGUGUCCUGGUGGAGAUCUACAUUGACGAUGUCGUGGUCAAAUCAAAAGGGUAUCAGGAACACCUGGCCGAUUUGCGAAAAGUGUUGGAAUGCACAAGAAAGCAUGGGUUGAAGAUGAAUCCAAACAAAGUGUGCCUUCGGCGUUUCGGCUGGACAGUUUCUGGGAUUCAUGAUUCACGAGCGAGGCAUCGAGAUCAAGCGAAAAAUUAUAGUUGCUAUCAACAAAGUCGUGGGCCCCCAGAAUAAGACUGAGCUACAGUACUUAAUCAGCAAGGUUAACUUCAUCCGACGGUUCAUAUCUAACUUGUUCGGGCGUAUUCAAGCUUUCACCCCUUUGUUGAAAUUAAAACCCGAUCAAGAAUUUGUAUAGGGUAAGGAAUAGCAGAAAACAUUAGAUGGCAUCAAACAAUACCUAGUCUCGCCACCAGUAUUGGUUCCGCCGCAGGCCAACAAGCCAUUCAAAUUAUACCUAUUGGCUGAUGAACGAGCUAUUGGGUUGGCGCUGGUCCAGGAAUGUGAAGGAAAAUAAAGAGUAAUCUAUUAUGUCAACAGAAGACUCCUGAACGUUGAAACUAGAUAUCCUCCGGUGGAACGGCUGUGCCUUUGUCUAUAUUUUUCAUGCACCAAACUCAGGCACUAUCUGUUAUCGGCAGAGUGCAUAGUCGUUUGCAAAGAUGAUGUGGUCAAGUACAUGUUGUCAUUGCCGAUUUUGAAAGGGAGGAUUGGAAAGUGGAUUCUAGCUCUCUCAGAGUUCGACCUGAGGUACGAAUCGGCCAAAGCUGUCAAGGGGCAAGUAAUGGCCGAUUUCGUGAUCCAGCACUGUGGACCAGAAAUUACUGUCGAACCAGCUCCGUGGACACUAUACUUUGAUGGGUCUGCGUGUGGGGCCGGAUCGGGAAUCGGCAUCAUCCUCAUAUCGUCUCGAGGGGCAAGUUAUGAUUUCUCUCUGCCGUUUGAGGCGUCCGCUACUAAUAAUCAAGCGGAGUAUCGGGUUGUUCUAAAAGGUAUCCAAUUAUUAAGAGAGGUCAAAGCUGACGUGAUGGAAAUUUUUGAGGAUUCCAUGCUCAUUGUAGAUCAAUUAACUGGAAAGUCUGAAUGCAAGGAUGAUAUCUUGAGGAUUUACUACGAAGAUUGCCUCAAGUUAUUGAAGGAGUUCAAGUCUUUGAUUAUUGAGCAUAUUCCCAGGAAUUACAACGAAGAAGCCAAUAGACUUGCCCAACAUCCUUCCGGGUAUCGGCUGUGUUGACGCCAGAUUUUGACACGAGUAAAAUCGGCGUUAGAAGUGGAAGAAAUUAGGAGAUGCGGCGAGAUACAAGGGCAACGAUUGGAAAUCGGCCGAUUGGUGCUACAGUCAAGGAUCGGUUGGUUGGUGCUGCAGUCAAGGAUCGGCCAAUAGAUGCUACAGACGAGGAUCGGCCGAUUGAUCCUUAGAGUUCCGCCUCGCACGACCCCUGGUUUGGGAUCGGACACGCCCGACCCUCCAAGGGAGGAUCUCCGCCUCGCCCGACCCCUGGUUUGGGAUCGGACGCGCCCGACCCUCCAAGGGAGGAUCUCCGCCUCGCCCGACCCCUGAGGUUUGGGAUCGAACGCGCCCGACCCUCCAAAGGAGGAUCUCCGCCUCGUCCGACCUUAGUUCCCAGGGUCGAAAUGAGUCUGAGCCCUCGAUAUGUGGGUCCUGAUCGGUUACCCCCCUUGCCAAAGAGGUGAUCGGCCGAUUAGGAGGUUGGAAUAGUUGGGCCGAUGUGGGCUCAAGAAGGAUUAUGAAGAUGAAGAGGGGGUCAGCCCAUGAAGCGCGUGAAAAUAGUACGAAUCGUACUUGUAAAUAUUCGUUUUCUGUUUAAAUUUAGGGAUAGAGUUCUAGUCGGAUAAGAAGUCGUUUGUACGGGGCUAUAAAUAGCCACCGUUGUAGAUCUGUAAUCAUCAUCAACUCAAUACAACAAACUACUAUUUCCUCGUACUUACUUUCAAGCAGGCGACUUUACCAACACUUUUUCUCCUUUUUCACGAGUUCGUACGGGUUGGCGGGGCUGCAUCAACUUGACCUCCGGCCGAUCUUGUAAGUUCCGUUUAUCGACUAAAUUCUAAGCUUUAACUUCGGGCGCAUCGCUGUCAUUUCGUUUAGAUUUAUUCAUCAGUUAUCGAUAUUUACUAGAAUUCUAGGUUUUACCUGUUGUUCUAGUUUUAUCACCAAUUAUCCAGCUAGGAAUCGGUAAAUUCGGCUUUCUUUAUACUUCUCUGUCUAAUCUAUUUAUUUUAGCCGAUUAGAUCUGUUCCUAGUGUUGCUACUGUAGCGUUGUUUAGAUUACUCUAGCAGUUUUCUUUAUAAACGUUACCUGGUAAUCGGUUGCACUAUAGCCGAUUUCCUUAUUACGGCAAAUCGGCCGAUUCGCUGAUAAGCUUUCUUGAGAUCGGAACCUUAGCUGAUCGCAACCUCUGGGAACUGACACGUUUAUUUCCUUGCCAAUCAACAGUUCAGAUUGGCUGGCUCGCCGCGCGAACCGUACCAGGGCAAUCACCCGAACAGGAGUUAAGCAGAUUCUCCCGGGUCGUGUGUCCGACGCUGGGAAUUCGGUCAGCUGAUUUCUAGUGCCAACACACUUUUGGCACGCCUAGUGGGGCCAAUACAACCGCCACCAUGUCGAAAGCUGCUGAAGUCUCCGAAGAUAACAUCAUCGAAGUGACAGAGGCAGAUCUCAGGGACGACCAGAAGGAAGAACUAGAGAGGCAGACAGCAUACUACCGGAAGACAUGUCUGCAGUCCUUCAGUCGCACCAGGAGCGAGGAGACUAUCAAAAAGGCUCCGUUUCCAACUCCCCGCCAGAUCACAAUCACCGAGGAUUCGGACAAGAUGUCCGAGAUGGUCCAGCAAUCCGUCUAUCAAGCUUUCAUUGAUCAAUCCCCGGUGCUUUCUAAUACGGUAUACAAUGCCGUCAUCAGCUCCUUGGCUAGUGGUGUAUCUCAAGGGUACCAGGGGCCGGCAUAUGUUCCGCUGAUUAUGGCUCCGAGCAAUGCGGCGACAUGAAGAUCACUGGCGAUGCCCGUUCUUCAUCCACUGUUGGGAAAGCAACCUUAGGUUGCCUUCGGCCGAUAAUUGCCCCGAGUGCAACGGCCCGUAUCGUAACAAUCGGCCGUUCAGCAGGUCUCGCUCCAGAGAUGGGAGAUCAGAGCCGAUCAGCAGGAACUGGCGCGACCAAGACAACCGGCGCCCUCCAGUACGUGAUCGGCUGGGGGGCAGAAGUGACCGGUAUGACCGGUCGGAAGGCAGGCGCAAUGAUGGGCCGGGGGCAGAUUUAAUCGACGUGACCGGCCAGAAAAUAGAGUCAGCGUCCACAGACGACUUGAAUAGAUGGCCGAUGCUCGGGUGUUAGAUGAGAACCCUUUAGGACGCGAACUAGAAUGGGAACGCGCCAGGCCACGAACCAAACCGGUGAACCCCAGGUGGUGCCCCGAUGGAUUGACCAAGUCUCAAAAACGAAGAAUCCAACGUCUCCGCCAGUGGGAACAGCAGGAAGAAGAGCAACAGUACACGACGGACGAGAAGAAAGGCAGGUCUUAGGUAUGGCGCCCCAAAAGAAACGACAGAGGAGGCGACAAAUCAGCAGGCGAUGAAUCGGCAGCCGAUAUCGACAUGGUCUUCAUACUGCCGAUGGAAUUCAUGACUCCUGCCGACCAACAGGACAUGUCAGCAAUAGAAGAGUAGAUGGCGCAAUUGGCUUUGGAGCCAAUGACAGCCACAUUCGAGAAGCCCGAAGAAGACAAACGGCAACACCUGAAAGCGUUGUUUCUUAAAGGGCAUGUCAACGGCCGACCCAUCACCAGAUUACUGGUAGACAGAGGGGCUGCAGUCAACAUCAUGCCGUACGCCAUGUUCCGGAAGCUAGGGAAGAGCAAUGAUGACCUGACCAAGACAGACAUGAUGCUCAAGGACUUCGAGGGCAACGUAUCCCCCGCUCACGGCGCUCUCUGCGUCGACCUCACCAUCGGCAGUAAGACCCUUCCUACUACUUUCUUUAUUAUUAAUGGCAAGGGGUCCUACAACAUGCUACUCGGCCGAGACUGGAUACAUGCAAAUUGCUGUAUCCCAUCUACAAUGCAUCAAUGCCUCGUAUAGUGGGUCGGCGACAACAUUGAGGUGGUCACCGCCGAUUCCGCAUACAGCAUCGCGGCAGCCGACACGCAACAGUGGAGCUGCGAAACCGUCAAGUGCAUAUCCGGGAGAGUAUGGGAUACUGACUUCUUGAAGGUGUCCGAUUUUGGCCUACAGCCGAUCCGAGCAGUCGGCUCUGAGGACUCAGAUUAAAUGGAUCAGUUCACCCGAGAAGAUGGGAAGCUGGGACAUGGGUUCACGUCGGCCGAUUCAUUAGAAAUGAUAGACUUAGGCGAUGGCACCAUACCAAGGCCGACAUAUAUUAGUGCAAAUUUAGAUCCGGAAUACAAAUGUAAACUGACAAGUUUGUUAAGAGAACUUAAGGAUUGCUUUGCUUGGGAAUAUCAUGAGAUGCCCGGAUUAGACCGAUCUAUCGUUGAACAUCGGUUACCCAUAAAGCCAGGGUAUCGGCCGUAUCAACAGCCUGCACGGCGGUGCAAUCCUAAAAUCCUACCGGACAUAAAGGCCAAAAUAACGCGGCUAAUCAAAGCAAAAUUUAUUCGGCAAUGCCGUUAUGCCGAAUGGAUCUCCAACAUUGUACCAGUAUAUAAGAAGAACGGAAAGUUACGCGUAUGCGUCGAUUUCAGGAACCUCAAUCAGGCCACACCAAUGGACGGAUACCCCAUGCCGACGGCUGAUGUACUGAUAGAUGCCGCCGCGGGACACAAGGUUAUUAGUUUCAUGGAUGGAAACGCUGGGUACAAUCAGAUACUUAUGGCCGAAGAAGACAUAUCUAAAACGGCCUUCAGAUGCCCGGGUCACCUUGGUUUAUUCGAGUGGGUGGUAAUGACUUUCGGCUUGAAAAAUGUCGGCGCUACGUAUCAGAGAGUCAUGAACUACAUAUUCCACAAACUUAUCGGCAUACUAGUAGAAAUCUACAUCGACGACGUCGUAGUCAAGUCAAAAGGACACCAGGAGCAUCUGGCCGAUUUACGACAGGUGUUGGAAUGCACUAAGAAACAUGGGCUGAAGAUGAACCCGAAUAAGUGUGCCUUCGGCGUAUCCGCCGGACAAUUCUUAGGAUUCAUGGUGCACGAGCGGGGAAUAGAAAUCAAUCAGAAGACUAUAGCGGCCAUCAACAAAAUUGUGGCCCCGCAGAAUAAAACUGAGCUGCAAUCUCUAAUCGACAAGAUGAAUUUCAUCAGGAGGUUCAUAUCUAAUUUGUCUGGGCGAAUCCAAGCCUUCACACCAUUAUUAAAGUUGAAGCCCGACCAGGAGUUCGUAUGGGGGGAAGAGCAACGCAAGGCAUUGGAAGAUAUCAAGCAGUACUUGGUCUCACCACCGGUAUUGGUCCCUCCUCAAACUGGUAAGCCGUUUAAACUAUAUUUAUCAGCCGAUGAACGAGCUAUUGGGUCGGCUCUGGUCCAGGAGUUCGAGGGAAAGGAACGAGUAAUUUAUUAUGUCAGUAGAAGACUUCUGGACGCCGAAACAAGGUAUCCUCCAGUGGAGCGGUUGUGCCUAUGCCUUUACUUCUCAUGUACCAAACUCAGGCACUAUUUGCUAUCAGCGGAAUGUGUGGUCGUAUGCAAGGACGACGUGGUAAAAUACAUGCUGUCACUGCCGAUUUUGAAAGGAUGGAUCGAAAAAUGGAUCUUGGCUUUGUCGGAGUUUGACCUUCGAUAUGAAUCGGCAAAAGCCGUUAAGGGUCAGGUCAUGGCCGAUUUCGUUGCCCAGCACUGCGGGCCAGAGGCUACCUUCGUAGAACCAGUACCUUGGACCUUAUACUUUGAUGGAUCGUCAUGUGGGGCCGGAUCAGGAAUCGGCAUCGUCCUCAUAUCGCCUCGGGGGGCAAGCUAUGAUUUCUCUCUACCGAUAGAAGCAUCCACCACUAACAAUCAAGCAGAGUACUGAGCUGUACUGAAGGGAUUACAAUUGCUAAGGGAAGUCAAAGCUGAUUCCGUCGAAAUUUUUGGGGAUUCCAUGCUUAUCGUGGAUCAGUUAACAGGGAAAUCCGAGUGCAAGGACGAUGUAUUGAGGAUUUAUUACGAAGAUUGCCUCCUGCUUCUGAAAGAAUUCAAGUCGGCAGUUAUCGAGCACAUCCCAAGGAAUCACAACGAGGAUGCCAACAAGCUCGCCCAACACGCAUCUGGGUAUCGGCCGAUUCAAGGCGCCUUGGCUCUAGAGCUCGCGGCCAAUGACUGGCGAAAGGAGAUUGCCGAUUACCUGAAAGAUCCGUCUAAGAAAGUGGAUCGGCGGGUAUGUUUUCAUGCUACCAAAUAUGUGCUACUGGAAGACGACUUGUUCUACCGAACAAUUGAUGGCGUCCUACUCAAGUGUCUAGGAACGGAGGAGGCUAAGACUCUGAUGGGAGAAAUCCAUGAAGGAGUGUGUGGAGCCCACCAAUCGGCACAUAAGAUGAAAUGGAUGAUUAGGAAUAAUGGGUAUUACUGGCCGACGAUCCUCGAAGAUUGCUUCAAAUAUUAUAAAGGAUGUCAGGAUUGUCAGAAAUUCGGGAAUGUCCAACGUGCGCCCGCAUCGGCCAUGAAUCCCAUUAUCAAACCAUGGCCGUUCAGAGGUUGGGGGAUAGACCUCAUCGGCCAAAUUUAUCCUCCGUCAAGCAAAGGGCACAAGUUCAUUCUGGUGGCCACUGAUUAUUUCACCAAGUGGGUGGAGGCAAUUCCGUUAAGGGCCGUGACAUCGGCUGCUAUGGUUGACUUCGUAAGAGACCAUAUCGUCUACCGUUUCGGCAUCCCCCAGACUAUCACGACCGAUCAAGGGACAAUGUUUACAUCAGGAGAAUUCGAGGAGUUCACAGCCGACAUGGGAAUCAAAUUAUUAAACUCCUCUCCGUAUUAUGCCCAAGCUAAUGGCCAGGUCGAAUCUUCCAACAAGGGGAUAAUUAAGUUAAUCAAGAGGAAGAUAGAGGAGCAGCCGAAAAAGUGGCAUCUAUGUCUGACUGAAGCUCUAUGGGCAUACAGGAUGGCUUGCCAUGGGGCCACUAAGAUGUCCCCUUAUCAGUUGGUGUACGGUCACGAGGCAGUACUACCAUGGGAGUUGAGGGCAGGAUCGAGACGCACUUCGCUCCAGGACCAGUUAGCGGCCGACGACUACUCCUCACUCAUGAAAAGGGAACUUGAUGACUUGGCUGGCCAACGAUUGAGAGCUUUGAUAAGCAUCAAAGAAAACAAGAAGAAAGUGGCCAGGUGGUAUGAUAAGAAAGUCAAAGUCAAACAAUUCUCUCCGGGGGACCUGGUAUGGAAGUUAGUGUUGCCGAUCGGGUCGAAAGAUCCUAAAUUCGGUAAGUGGUCCCCUACGUGGGAAGAGCCGUAUAAAAUCGGCAGAUGUGCUCCAGGAAACGCUUAUAUUCUGGAAACAAUCGAAGGAGAGAAGAGUUUACUAGGGCUUUGAACGGAAGAUACUUGAAAAGGUACUACCCUAGUAUAUGGGUCGGAGCAUAAGGAUCGACCAUGAUGAACAACACACAGCCAAUACAAAAGGAUUCGUCUAGAGAAAAAAACGUAAUCGUCCAAAUCGGCCGAUGUAUUUCAUUCGGUACGGACGGUGGGUUACACGGCCGACAAGGUACAAGUUGCCCUUAGAACAAAAAAAAAUUAAUCACGCUUUUUCUUAAGCUCUCUCUCAGCCCGACCUAGUUCUAUCAGAAGACGGAUGUACUCUUCUUUUAUCUCUUUCAUCGAAGCCUCCGCUUCGACUUGACGGGGGAGAGGGUGACUCCGGUCCAUGGCCGGGCGUGAUGUUCCUACUGCUGCAUCUUCAAGGACGAUUUGAUGAGGAAGCGGAUGACUUCUGUCGGCUUGAGGUCGCCGGUGGUCGUUGCUGUCCAGAAAGUCCCAGAUCCAUCGGAUGUCGGCAGGGACGUGCUCUUGGAGUUCGUCGCGAUGAGCUCUGAUUAAAUCCUUAUCUUCUUGCGACAACGGUUCAUCGGAGUGUACAAGUCCGAUGGCUCGUUCGAGUUCGGGGCUAAGGCGCCGUGGCUGCGGAAAGCAACAAUAUACAUAUAGCUGCCGAAAAGGUGAUUCCCUUCAGAAGAGCUAAACUAAGAAAGAGAAUGAAGGCAAAUCUUUUACCUGAUUAACGGAGGAAGAGGUAGAGGAUGGAGAAGACAUGACUGAAAGGCGCACCGACGUGAACAGGUCGAGGAAGAUGAAGCCGAGUUAGAAAGGUACUCUCGGAACGGUCACCUAGGCCGGUGUUUAUAGGAAAGGAAGGCAUGGAUGUUUGGUAAGACGCGUCCCAUCGGGAGUGUGAAAGGUAAUAAAUAAGGGGGCGUCGCGAAGGACGGUCAAAGGGAUCAUUAAAUGUUCGUACAAGAACUGCCAGCACUUUUACAGGUCACCCAGAAGGGCAUCGAUAGCUGCGAUCGCUCGACGCCGGAUCUGAUCGGCAGAGUCCAGGACCCGUUGGUCAUCCUCUGCCGAUCCGGGGACUUCUAACAUAUGGCGGUGGAGUUUGAGGGCCUCGUGAGCCAGAUGCUGCCUCUCUCGUUUCAGAUCGGCAAUGACAGAAGGGAGUUCCUGAAGCCUCUUCUCUUCGGCGUCUAUUGCUUUGGUCACCUGCUCCAUCUCCUUGGCAAGCUCUGCCCUUCGGCGUUUGAGGCGAUCUAUCGUGCCGACGAUCCCCGGGCGAGAGUCUUCCAGAAAGUGAAUCCGUUGAUGCACCUCUUGAGCUUGACGCUUGUACGUGUCUUCUUCUUCACGAGUUUUGGUCAACUUGACGCGAUCGGCCAUGUGGCGCAGGGCCCUAAAGACUGGAAUCCUCAUUGACUCGAUAUAUGCAGCUGGCGCCAAGGCCUCUUCCGCUUCUUCUGGUACUCGCCCGCUGACGUCACCAAAAAGUUGUUGAAUCAGCGAAGCGUCUUCUACCAAUCGGCCGAUGUCCUCUUGAAGAAGGGAUCGGAUGCUUGCGAGUUUGGCACGGACGUCAUCAGGAACGGAGCUCAAAGUGACCUGGCGAGAGGCGACUUCCUCAUCAUCGGAGAGUGCGACCGCAAACGAGAAAAGGCUGUUGUUGGGGGUGUCCUGUUCCUGAAAAAUAGUGAGUCAAGAAGAAGAACAAAUCAGCCGAUGAUGAUAGCAAAUCGGCUGAGUAAGGGUGAGAAAUCUCUUACCUCCUUGAAACGGAUUUCUUCAAACUGCGUUUGGGAGGCUGUUAUCCUCGAUUCAGGGGCUGGUACCAUUGGUUCGUCAGAAGCUGAAGACUCCACCAUGAUUGGUGCUUUGCUCGGGCCAGCUUCCCGAAAGAUGACCAUUGGUUGGUUAGGUGGGGCGCUAAGCGUACCGGUGACCUGUGUCAAAAGAUUGAAUAAGAAUAUUAUCCAAAUACUAGAAAAAUCGGUUGAAGAGUAGUAUACCUCGGCAGACGGAAGCGUGGGCGUGUUGAUGACCGAUUGGGUUGCUGCCGAUUGUUGUGAGUCCACAGAAGUGAUUUGUGUAGUCUAAAAUAAGAUGAGUCAGUAUAGAGAUGGCAAUCGGUAGGAUCAAACAACAAGUUUACCUGCAUGGCCUCCACCAGUAAUGAUGCAGCGGCCGCCCCAGCUUGCGUGACGACUUGAGUAUCUACUUCUCCAGCAGCUGGAAGGGGCAAUGUGGCCGAAGUUUCUGCCGAUGUGAUCGUAGGAGGGUCGGCCGGUUCUGUACGAGCUCGCACUCGGCGACUGGUCUUCUUGGUAACCUUCUUCUGCGCCUGCUUCGAUCGGCCGGCAAUCACAUCCACGGAAGGGGCAUCGUAGCCGAUAAGGGGGAAGAUGGUGUAUAGGUGAUGGUCCUCUAUCGGCCGGCCACUCCGACUGUGUGUUGGGGGAACGCAGUUUUCAGACUGAAGCAACAGCAAGAUGUUAGUGUACAUAUUUAACCGCAUUAAUAAAGGAAUGAAAAUCAGUUAGGGAAAAAAAAUACCUCGGUGUUCGGAUCGAUGUUGGCUGGAUCCAGGAGGUUGCAGUAUGUCGAUGCGGAGGCACAGAAUAGGUACUGUUUUCAUUCGGCCCACCAUAGCUUGAAUGGUUGGACAACAAAGGGGGCUACUAUCCAGUCAUUCAAGUCUAUGGUACUGGAGUCUGGUAUCCGGUCUCGCAGCCGACUAUAGUCAAGACCCUUGGUGAGCUCAUCUCUGAACUUUGCUCGGCCGACGAAGUAUGCCUGAAUCGGCAGUUGACCCAUGCCGAAUUGCCGAGCUGCAACGGAGGGAUUGUAGAAUUCAUAUGUAGGGGCAUCCUUUCCUGAGAAGAAGUUGGCCGGUAAGAUCCCCGGUUUAAUUAGUUCAUCUGUGAGAUCUUCGUCGAAUCAGCCGGUGGUUGAGUCGAAGCAAGAAGGGAGUUCAAAGAUUGGGUCAUCUCUCCAAUAAGGAAACCAGACGGUUGCAUCUUCAUUGAAGCCGUUAUAAAAACACUGGAAGUAUUCGGCCACCUUGGUAGCAGAGUACGAGCAACCAGAGAAGGCCGAUGCCGCUUCGCCGAAAGACAUACACCGGCGUCGGACAGUGAGAUUCUCUGCCGAUUCGACGCUGGGGAAUGUCAUGUGUUCCACUCGCUGCUGAGAGAUCUCGCUCAUGUACAAGUUCAGCCAUAAGUUAAUGAACCACCAGGGUCCACCUGGGUUUCCAAUUGGCUACCCUUGGGAUAGCUUGAUGCCGAUUUGGUGAAGCAUGUGGUAGGCUGCUCCCAGUAAGUGCUUUCCAAGAGGAACAGAAGUCCCUAUUGAUAAUGCUUCGGCCAGAGCUUGGGUAUUGGUAGAUGGACCAGCUGCUCUCCCACAGAAGAAGUGCUUCUCUAGCCACAUCAUCAGGAAGGCCGUGUGCUCUCUGUUGUCGACAGAUCCGGCCCUUUUGUUGCAUCUGAUGAAACCUUUCCACCUGCCGAUUCCCCUUGUGUCCAGCCGAUGUGAUGUUGCGGUUAUAAGGCGGAAAGGGGUGUCCGGGGAAGAAAUAUCCAGGCCGGUCAGGAAGACUACAUCGGCCAAUGUGGGGGUCAUGGGUCCGUGUCCAAACAGGAAUGCGUUGAGAGCAUUGGACCAGAAGUAAGAAGCUGCCACCACUAAUGGCUCAUUCCGUUCCAUUUGGGACAAAGAUAGAUCGAUGCAUUGGCCAAUUUUGAGCUCGUCCCAUUGGACCUUCUUGGAAGCGGUUAUCCGCUGGUACCAUUCCCUCCAACUGGGAGUUUCGUUCGGCCAAGACCUAAAGGUACUCAACCAGUGAUCUAGGUCCAUAGUUGAUUGUUUGAAGGGGAUCCUAUGGGUUUUCCAAAUUGAUUAAGUCGGUUGGAUCUGGAUUUCCCAUGGGUCCAAGACAGAUAAGGCCGAGGUUUUCUGUGAGACGAAUGGUGAUGCGAUGCCUAACCGCCUAAAAAGGAAAAGGGGGUGCGAGGGUAAGAAAUAGAUCUAAAGUACAUGCAUUACUAAUAAGGGAAAGUUUCGGUAAUGACCUCCGGGAUGAAGCUCCUCGUAAUCGGCGGAGUCGCCGGUGCAGCUGCAGACGAUGAAGCUGCCAAUGGGAUCUCGGAUGAAGCUUCAACUUUCGCCAAUGGAGCUCCUUCUUCCGUCGAUGGAGCCGUCGUUAUCGCUACUGGAACCUCCGCCGAAGGCACCAUUUCUGGAGCUUCGCGCAUUGGUGAGGUGCCUGAAGGUGCCGCCAUUGGAAAAGUAGGAGGCAAUGCGAAAGGAAGGAGGCGCUGGAGAAUUGGUGGACUAAGGAAAGUGUUGGAGGAAGAAGAAAGCCUGUGCACUGAAGAAGAUGGACAUGAGCUCGUAAGGAGUACGGGAUGUGCUGAUAUUUAAAGAACGUCUGAGAAGGGGUAAAAGUGGAAUUUUUACCGCGCUGGCGUUUUGAGUUUUUCGGGAGUAGUGGUUGUCGUGGGCACCCGUUUCGAAAAGAUUGCAAUCAUCAGGUUGGAGACCGCGAAAUGGAAGGAUGUUUUCAUUGCGUCUGUUUCGGAUGAGAAGUUGAAAAGAAUUUUGAAGUAAAGACUAUGUUUUACUCCGAAACUGGGAGGCAUGUGUUGACGCCAGAUUUUGACACGAGUAAAAUCGGCGUUAGAAAUGGAAUAAAUUAGGAGAUGCGGCGAGAUACAAGGGCGACGAUUGGAAAUCGGCCGAUUGGUGCUACAGUCAAGGAUCGGUUGGUUGGUGCUGCAGUCAAGGAUCGGCCAAUUGAUGCUACAGAUGAGGAUCGACCGAUUGAUCCUUGGAGUUCCGCCUCGCCCAACCCCUGGUUUGGGAUCGGACGCGCCCGACCCUCCAAGGGAGGAUCUCCGCCUCGCCCGACCCCUGGUUUGGGAUCGGACGCGCCCGACCCUCCAAGGGAGGAUCUCCGCCUCGCCCGACCCCUGAGGUUUGGGAUCGGACGCGCCCGACCCUCCAAAGGAGGAUCUCCGCCUCGUCCGACCUUAGUUCCCAGGGUCGAAAUGAGUCUGAGCCCUCGAUAUGUGGGUCCUGAUCGGUUACCCCCUUGCCAAAGAGGUGAUCGGCCGAUUAGGAGGUUGGAAUAGUUGGGCCGAUGUGGGCUCAAGAAGGAUUAUGAAGAUGAAGAGGGGGUCAGCCCAUGAAGCGCGUGAAAAUAGUACGAAUCGUACUUGUAAAUAUUCGUUUUCUGUUUAAAUUUAGGGAUAGAGUUCUAGUCGGAUAAGAAGUCGUUCGUACGGGGCUAUAAAUAGCCACCGUUGUAGAUCUGUAAUCAUCAUCAACUCAAUACAACAAACUACUAUUUCCUCGUACUUACUUUCAAGCAGGCGACUUUACCAACACUUUUUCUCCUUUUUCACGAGUUCAUACGGGUUGGCGGGGCUGCAUCAACUUGACCUCCGGCCGAUCUUGUAAGUUCCGUUUAUCGACUAAAUUCUAAGCUUUAACUUCGGGCGCAUCGCUGUCGUUUCGUUUAGAUUUAUUCAUCAGUUAUCGAUAUUUACUAGAAUUCUAGGUUUUACCUGUUGUUCUAGUUUUAUCACCAAUUAUCCAGCUAGGAAUCGGUAAAUUCGGCUUUCUUUAUACUUCUCUGUCUAAUCUAUUUAUUUUAGCCGAUUAGAUCUGUUCCUAGUGUUGCUACUGUAGCGUUGUUUAGAUUACUCUAGCAGUUUUCUUUAUAAACGUUACCUGGUAAUCGGUUGCACUAUAGCCGAUUUCCUUAUUACGGCAAAUCGGCCGAUUCGCUGAUAAGCUUUCUUGAGACCGGAACCUUAGCCGAUCGCAACCUCUGGGAACUGACAUGUUUAUUUCCUUGCCAAUCAACAGGUCAGAUUGGCUGGCACGCCGCGCGAACCGCACCAGGGCAAUCACCCGAACAGGAGUUAAGCAGAUUCUCCCGGGUCGUGUGUCCGACGCUGGAAAUUCGGUCAGCUGAUUUCUAGCGCCAACAGGCUCAUUUAUGUCGCCUGACACGCGAAUAUGCACUUUAACCAAGUCAACCUGGUCGACCGUCGGAUUUCAUCCGAUGAACCACUUACACAGGAUCAAGAAGCAUCGCUCAAACGAAGGUGAGUAGCACAGAGGUUACAACAUUCCAUUAUGACAACUUAGUUCCACAAUUUAUUACAUCAGAGUUUCAGAAAUUCAAACAAGUUGCAAGGUUCGAAAAGUCGGAUAAAACAAGCGAAAACUAAACGUCGAUACAGGAUAUCAUGACGAAGUUGAUCAUGACAUCAAAAAUCCCUACCCUCACCGUCCGAGGAGGGAUCCCACUCGAUUGUCCAGCCCGGAGGGAGCUGGGUAGGCCAAGUGGUGCCAGCAACCAAACUAUUGACAUGACCUGAAAAGAUUAAGCCAUAACAAGGCUGAGCAACUAAUACUCAGCAAGACUGACCCGUCGAGUGAAAAGCUUUACCAAGACCUAGACAUGCAAGGCUUUCUGGCUCUGGGAUUACUUUGCCAAAAGCAUCUACAGUCGGUCCUUACUUUCAAUAUUUUAGCUUAAGUUCUACGUUCUUUAACCAGUCUAGAUUAGCAACUUAUACUAAACAAGCAUAAUUUCCAAGUAGUUAAAUAACAAGCAUCAACUUAAUCUCAUAAUCAUGUUUCAUCGUUACUCAGUGCAGAAUAGCGAUCAAGUAGUCCCAAACUGUGAGAGACAGAUGAAUCGAUUCGAAUUUAUUAACCAUGCAUGGCGAACCUAAUCUCACGACAUCCGCGCACCACGAAGGGUCGCUUCAUUUGUCAGCCGUCCCCAUCGAUCCCUUAGGCACGUGUCAGGGCCAAACUGCCUUUGGCGUGCAAUGCUCCACAGUCCCGACCUCUGUCGUACUGUGACCGCCACUGCACCCACAUGAUGCACCAUGGGAACGACGUUCCAAGGACAGCAGGAGUAUAAGCCACGUCCCAGUUCAGUCAGGUACUAGGCUUCCCCAUCCCAGACUAGGUAUGAGAUUAGUACUUUCAAACACUUGAUCACGAACGCUGACACGUUUCAACCUUAGAUCAAUUUCCUUUAGACAGACGGGGAAAACCACCAAGUAUCGAACAUAAGCCCGACCCCGUCCGUCAUCCUUAUAGUUGCAACAUAAAUAAACAUUCAACUCCUAUAACUCGCGAGUGAUAGGAAAUCACUCGACUUUUACUGAAACCUAAUAAGCAUUGCAACUACUCGACUUUAGCAACUAGUAUUCAAACAAGGUACUAAGUUCAUGCAUCUACGGUUUCAAUCAACUCCUACACACGUAAAUGCGCAAACAUAAACAUCAACAUGUUGCAUAAAGUAAAACAGGGAAGUCAUGCACCGGGGCUUGCCGUCAGGAAGAGUUAGCGGGUCCUCGGGGUCUUGAUCCGGCUCAGGCUCGCCUUCCAAGUGGUGAAGCUCCGCAGCGGGGUCUUCCUCCGGUGUCGGGUGGAGCUCGUAGGUUCCAUCGGCGAGAUUUGCUUCUAUACGACAUGCAUAUGCAAAAGUUUAGUUGGACUCACGCGUUUAUUCAACGACACAAGGCUUGGCUUAAGACAAGGAGUUGCAACAGCCACAUUCACUUUGACGAGGUUCAACUUUCAUGCAACUUCAAACGAAUGUGGUCGGUUUAAACUUGAGUUCGAGUUGAAUGGCGAUUGUGUACAUAUAUAGUUUUCUUACACUUAGAGUUGCAUAAAGAGAAUGAAAGGUCGUGUUUGGGUGGUUUGGGUGCAUUAGGAUAGUUACUUACUUCUGAAUGUUUUUAUGUACCUCUUUCAAUUUCCACUUAUUUAUCGUAUUAGAAUUUGUGCUUUCCUUUUAUUCCUUUAGGUUGAUUAAUUAACCAAAAUGACUUCAUAUCCAAACAGCAGCUAAAGGCACUGAUAAAAUUACAACACCUCACUUAAGCCAUAGCUGGGUUACUCUAAAAUUUUGGGGGCCAUUGGAUGACUUAAAAAGGAAUUACAUGCAUUUUAUUAUUAAAGGUAAAAUGAGCUUAACUUUUUCUAUCUUCAAAGUUACUAUGCAACAGAGGGUGAAACUUAACCAGUGUGUUAAGGGUAUGUUACAGGAUCUUUGGCGAAUUUUUCAUAAUUUUUGAAGAAGGUUAACUAUUUACUCUAUUUCCUUUUUAAUUAAACAUGCUUAGCAAGGAAGGUGUUUUUUCUUUCCGAAUUGCACAACAAUUUACAUUUUUCCUGCAAACUUCACAGCAAAACAAAAUUAACCCAACUAGUUUCACAUUUUUUUGAGCUCUGGAUCAAAACGUAUGCAAAAAGGAAGAAUUAAUCUUAGAUUCCCAAAUUAAAGUCAAAACAAUGACUUAAAGUGCUAGACCAGAGCCCUAACCAUUUUUCUGAGCUUCUACACAUAGAAACAAGCAUCACAGAGUUGGUUUUACAUUUUUCCCACUUUUCUUCUAUUUAAUAGGAUUAAAAAGGCCUAAACCAUGAUUAAAAGCAUAUGAUAUUAUUUACAACAGUAACAUGAGCAAACUUAUUUUUCUUAGGAACUAGAUAGAGCAAGGAUUCCAACAAAAGUGGUUUGGUAUUUUUAUGAUUUUUCUACGAUUUACUGGGCAUUUACAAAGUUCAACCAUAUUUCUACCUAUUAUUUAAAAGAAAAGCCGUGGCAAACUUGCAGGUUAGCCCCUGGGUCUAUGGGUUAACUACGCAGAGGUCCCUGAGUUUUGCGCCCAGGCCCCUGGAAAGAAUGGGGAUGAUGCAAUGUAGUCCCCAGGGCGCGCGCGGCGGCGGCGAGGAAAUCCCCGGCGGUUCGUCGGCGGGGAUGGGGCAACAAGUGGUCGGAGGGGUGCGGGGGCUCACCUGAGCUCGGUUUGGUGGGGUUGGGGCGACGGAGAUGGUCGGUAGGGAUCAAAACACGGCGGCGGCGACAGAGCUUGGCUGGUGGCGGUGCAGGCGUCGUUCCGGCGCACUGGCGGCGUCGGGGAGGCCACGGGCUGCUCGGAGACGUGCGCGGAGGGGGGGCGAAGUGGGCGGCGAAGUUGCCGGAGUACGGGGUGGCGCGGAGGGGUGAGCUCCACGGGAGCUUAGCGGCGGCGCUGAGAAGGAAGCAGAGGCGUGGUUGCGAGCGGUGGCAAAGGGUGGCAUUGCCGGUGAGGGGGACCCUUUUAUAGGGCAGCGGUGGAGCGGAGGGUCGAGGUGGGGCUCCGGUGGAGGAAGGAUAAGGCCGGGAGCGGUGCGUGCGCGAGCGAGGCGGCCAUUGGCCAGCGGUGCCAUUGGGCAGGGGAGGCGGAGCUCCGGGUGGUCUCUGGCCGCGAUUGGCCUCGAGCGAUGCGUGUCUGAGGCCUCCGGUCUGUCGGCGGGCGAAGCGGAGGGCCACCGCGGGGGUUGGGCGAGCGGGCGGAGGCGCGGGACGUCGUUGGCGUGGUGGCUUCUCCAGCGGGUGGGCGAAGCGCGGUUGGGCAGAGCAGAGCCGCGGCAGAGGGAAGGGCACGCGCGCGGCCGACGGUUGGCCAGCCCGGCGUUCGCCCCGUCUUGUCGCAGGCGCGGGUUGGGCGCCGUGGCUCUCACCUUAUCGUUGUCUCGCCGGGGAUAGGGCGCCGGUGAGCUGCCGGUGGCCAGCGGCCACGAGGCACGCGGUGCGCGGGCGAACAUGCCCUGGCGCGCGGGCGUUGAGGCCCCUUCGGGCAGUAAGCCCGACCAGCUUUGAGAGAUCCUAUCUCAAGAUUUUGCAACACAACUUCCAAAACUCUUCUAAACAAACUUGUUCAACUCUGGACGUAGUUCAAACUUGGUUUAAGGUGCUGGUUUAGAUUGUGAAAGGAUUUGGAGAUAUCUCAUGCCAAAGUUUGCCAAAAAUAUGGAAAUCCAGACUUAGCCAAUUUUGGCCGGAGAGGUGGAAUUUCAGGAACUUAGCUAUGUUUGAGUCAACUUUAGGGCAGCUUCCAAGUUGAAUUAGACAGAAGUGUUAAUAGAGGAGUUGCUCUCCAAACUGAGGACUUCAACUUCUAUUUAGGGUAUUUCUGGAGUUUAGUUCAGAAAUUUGGAGGAACGCCCUCGCCAAGAGGUGCACUCUGAGCAGUUUUCCAGACUUAGCGUUGUGGUGCUCAGGGGCUGAGUUGACUGCUUUGCUCAACUUUGACCAAGAUUUUGAACAGGUUCUGGUUCGAUUUGGACCUGGGUCAUUGUAACAAACUUGGAAAACACUUGAGGUAUUACAACCUUUAUUAAGAGCCUGACUUGAGUUUAGAUAUGAAAUCGUGAGAUAAAGGCUUGCAAAGUUGGAGGAAAACUUGAAUUCCACGACUUGGAGGUUUAUAGGGUUCUUUAUUAUUCCGGUUUUGAUUCCUGUUUUUGACUUCCUCCCACUCCGAAUUAGCCAAAGUGACUUUAACAAAUAUUGUUUGAAAUUAAAAGUGUUACAACUCUUAUUUGGGCAAAAUUUUAAGUUUGUAUAUAAAAUCUCAAGUUUUAUUUUAAACUCCAUAAAGAGCUUCUUAGGGUUAAAAUGGUCAUUUCACUUCCUUUACUUAGUGAUUAACCACUGGUUUAUAUUUAAAGCACUUAAUUUAGGUAGAGUUGUUACAAGUAUCCACUCACUACUUUACCAAAUGGGUGCAGGCAGUCCCUCUGAAGACCGUGACGUUGGCCGUCAUGAUUGAAUUCAUAAGCGAGCACAUUAUCUAUUGGUUUGGUAUUCCUCAGACUGUUACGACCGAUCAGAGAACAAUGUUUACUUCAGGAGAGUUUGAGGAGUUCACUUCCGAUAUGGAAAUUAAGUUGUUAAAUUCUUCUCCAUAUUACGUUCAAGCUAAUGGUCAGACCGAAUCGUCCAAUAAAGGGAUAAUCAAGUGUAUCAAGAGGAAGGUAGAGGAGCAACCAAAGAGAUGGCACAUGACUUUAAGCGAGUCUUUGUGGGCCUACAGGAUGGCCUGCCACGGCGCUACUAAGGUGUCUCCUUAUCAAUUAGUGUAUGGAUAUGAGGCGGUGCUCCCUUAGGAAUUGAGGAUGGGGUCUAGACGCACGUCGAUUCAAGAUUAGUUGACAGCCGACGAUUAUUCUCUCCUUAUGAAAGGGGAGCUUGAGGAUUUGGUGGGUCAACGAUUGAGGGCCUUGAUCAGUAUUGAAGAGAAUAAGAAAAGACUUGCCAAGUGGUAUGACAAGAAGGUCAAGGUCAAGCAGUUCUCGCAAGGGGAUUUGGUAUGGAAAUUGGUAUUGCCGAUAGGGUCUAACCAUCCCAAAUACGGCUAGUGGUCGCCUACUUGGGAAGGGUCGUAUAAAUCGAUCGAUAUGUGCCAGGAAAUGCAUACGUAUUAGAGACCAUCGAGGGAGAGGAAUUUACAAGAGCCUUAAAUGGGAGAUAUUUGAAAAGAUACUAUCCCAGCAUAUGAGUGGACGCGUAGCCGAUGAUAUAGUGUAUCGAGUCGUUAUGGCCGAUUCCUAUUGACUCGUGUUUAUAUAGCCGAUGCAGGGAGGCAUCGCCUUGAGGACGAAACCUCUAAUCAAAUUGGCCGAUUAUUAUUCGGUACGGUGAUUGGAUACAUGGCCAACAUGGUACAAGUCGCCCUUAGACCAAAAGUACCAAUACAUCUAUCGGGUUACAAUAUGAUUAACUGCAUUUCAACUGGGCUUUGUUUUUAUUGAUCUCUCUUUGGACCCGGCCUAGUUCUAUUAAGAGACGGGUGCUCUUUUCCUCCCUAUCCGCCAUGGCAUCUUUGAGAGCGACCUGGCAGGGUAGCUGAUGACUCCUCUCAAUUGGCGGCUGAGGUGGCUCCCUGGAGCUGUUGGCUUCGAUGUGAUCCACGAUCUUCUUAAUGUGGGUCGGAAGAUGGUCUUUAAGCUCCUCACGGUGGGCUUUGAUCAGGUCUUGGUCCACCUGCAUCAGUGGUUCCUCAGAGUGCAUAAUUUCGAUAACUCGCUCAAGAUCAGGGCUGAGCCGGGUCGGCUGGACAAACAGCGGGCAAUCAGUUGUCGAAAAGAAUUGGUCAAGGAGCGCAAGGCUGAUCUCAUACCUCAUUGACGGGGGAAGAAGAAGACAUCUUGGCGCCCGGUUAGGGAUCUGAAAAUGGUCGAGCAGAGUGUAGAAGGAUGGAUGAGAUACGAGUGCCUCUGGGAGGAAUGUAGGGACCCCAUAUUUAUAGGAGAAAAGGUAAGGGGCAACGGUUGGCAAAGGCAUCUAUUCAAAGCAGAUGAAUGUUGAGCUAAAAGCUGCGAAGAGGAAACGUUCAAGUCCGUAUUCACACAAUGAUGGCAAAAGGGGCAUUAAAUGUUUGUGCAGAGGUGUUCAAAAGAUAAUUCAAUGUUUUGAUACAUUCAUUCAAGAAGAAUAUUAAUGGCCGCGAUUGCCUACUGGCGGAUCUGAUCCGCUGAAUCUAGAACUCGUUGGACAUCUUCGGCUGAUCCAAGAAUUUCUAGCAUGUUGCGAUGAAGCCGGAUGGCCUCAUGCGCAAGGGUUUGCCUCUCCUGCUUCAGAUCAGCGAUGACGGUCGUGAGAUCAUGAAGAUUAUUCUUUUUGGCGGUUAUAGCCUUUGUCACCUACUCCAUCUCCUUGGCAAUCUCUGCCCUAUGCUAUUUGAGACGGUCUAUUGUGCCGACGAUGUCUGGGCGAGAAUUUUCGAGUACGCCGAUUCGGUGAUGUACCUCUUGAGCUCGGUGUUUGUAGGAAUCCUUCUCUUCACAUGGCUUUGCCAGCUUGGCAUGAACGGCCAUGUGCCGCAGGGCUCUGAACACCGGGAUUUGCAUUGACUCGAUGUAUGUAGGAGGUGCAAGAGCUUUUUCUACAUCCUUCAGGACUCGGCCUUUUAUUUCGCUGAAGAUUUGCCAAAUCGGCGAAGCGUCUUCCACCAAUCGGCCGAUGUCAUCUUGAAGAAGUGCUCGGAUUCUCUGGAGCUUUGCACGUACUUCUUCCGAAAUUGAACCUGGAGCCACUUGUCGAGAGGCUACCUCUUCAUCAUCAGAAACAGCGAUCGCAAAUGAAAAGAGGCUGUUAUUGGGCGUAUCUUGUUCCUAUAAAAGUAAGAGAGGAAGGAACGGAUUAGCCGACAGUAGUGGGAAAUCGGUCGGAUUGGAUGUCGAAGGCCCUUACCUGUUUAAAAUGAAUUUUCUUCUGUUUGUGUUUGGGGGAUUGCUACCCUUGUCUCAGGAAUCAGCAUGGUUGGCUCGUCAGAAGAAGAAGACUCGACGGUGAUCGACGUUGUGUUUGGACCGGCUUCCUGAAAGUAACAAAAGGAGAGUCUCUAUAAGUAUGAAGCAAUAGUUAGAUCUAAGGAUGAGUACCAGUUACUUUACCUCUGUGAGUCGUCCGGCCGAUGACUGUUGGAAAGGUAUGAUUGAUGUACCCAGAGUGGCCUACAUUAGAAAUCGGUCAUUUUUGACUAAGGAAUAAGAGACUUGAGUAAGAUGUAUGUUCUUUACCUCAGCUGCAAGGAUUGCUGGUGGUUCGGUCUCUGCUUGGGAUGCGACCGAUUGCUGUGAGGUUUGCUCCGAAAGAAUUUGCGCAGCCUAACAAAAAGUGGAAAUUAAUACUGAUAGUAUACUUGGAGAAAUGUGAAGCAUAUAAAGUUACCUGAACAUCUUUUACCAAUAAGGAUGCAGCUGCUGAUCCGGCUUCCGUAGCGGCUUGGGGGUCGACCUCCUGGGCGAUCGGCAGAGUUGGUGUGGCUGAAGACUCGGCUGGUGGCACCGCCGAUUGAUCGGCCGGUUCUAUACGGGCGCGCACCCGGCGGCUUGUCUUCUUUGAAGAGGAUAUCUUCAUCUUCUGCUUCAAUCGGCCUGUGAUGAUAUCUUCGAUUGACGGGGACUGAAAGCCGAUGAUUGGAAAUGAAGUAUAUGGGUGGCGAUUCUCUAUCGGCCUGCCACUACAGUUGUGCGUUGGAGAGAGUUGGCUUUCAGACGACAAGAAAUGAGGGAAAUCAGUGGUAAUACUGUAAGAGUACGGUGUCAAAUCGGCCAGAAGGAUUGGUACCUCUGCAUUCGGAUCAAUGUUAGCGGGGUCCAGAUCAUUACAAUAUGUUGUAGGAGAUGUGCAGAAGAGGUGUUGUUUCCACUCACCCCACCAUAGCUUGAAUUGUUGGACAGCGAAGGGGGCCACAACCCAGUUGGCCAAUUCGAUGGUACUGGAAUCCGGCGUCAAGCUGCACAGCUGAUUGUAUUCAAGACCUUUAGAGAGCUCCUCCCGACACUUAACGCGGCCGGCAAAAUAAAUCUUAAUCGGCAUUUGUCUGAGGCCGAAUUGCCGCGCUGCCACUGAUGGGUUGUAGAAUUCAUAGGUUGGGGAGUCUUUUCCUGAGAAGAAGUUUGCUGGUAGGAUCCCAGGCUUGAUCAAAGUAUCCAUAAGCUCAUUAUCGAAGUAAUUGAUGGUUGAAUUGAAGCAGUCGGGGUUUUCAAAGAGUGGCUCAAUUCUCUGAUAUGGGUACCAGCUUGUAGUUUCUUCAUUGAAGCCGAUAUAGAAGCAUCUGAAAUACUCAGUUGUAUUUGUGGGGGUAAACUUGCUGCCAGGAGAAGCUGACGCUACCUCGCCAAGGAAGUGCAACGCCGUCUUAAUGUUGGGUUAUCCUCUGAUUCAAUAUUGGGGAAUGUCUUGGUCUCAACUCGUUCCCUGGAGAUCUUGCUCAUGUAUAAGUUGAGCCAGAUGGUGAUAAACCACCAGGGGCCACCAGAGUUCCCAAUCGGCUCUCCGGAUGACAGCUUGACUGCGAUUUGGUGCAUCAUAUGAUGAGCCAAUCCUAGCAGGUGUUUUCCUAAGGGGAUAGUAGAACCUUUUGCUAGGGCCUCGACCAGAGCCUGUGUAUUGGAGGAGGGGCCAACUGCUUUGCCACAGAAGAAGUGCUUCUCUAACCACAUCAUCAGGAAAGCUGUGUAUUCUCUAUCGCCGAUAGGACCGGUCUUCAUAUUUUUAUCAAUAUAGCAUUUCCACCUGCCGAUUCCCUUUGUUUCCAGGCGAUGGGUUGGUUUGAUCAGGAAAUUGAAGGGCAAGUCGGGGGAAGAGAUGUCAAGACCGGUCAGCAUCAGGACGUCGGCCAAAGUAGGGGUCAUGGGCCCAUGUCCAAAAAGGAAAACAUUGAGAGCGUCAGACCAGAAAUAAGAAGCUGCCAUGACCAAAGGUUCAUUCUUCUCCAUUUGAGACAGAUAUAAGUUUAUGCAUUGGCCGAUUUUUAGUUCAUCCCAAAGAACCCUCUAAGAAUUGGACAUCCUUUGAAACCACUCUUUCCAGCCAAGGGUUUCGUUCGGCCAAGAUCUAAAUGCACCUGUCCACUGGCUUAAAUCCAUUGGUGACUGCUUGAAAGGGAUCAUGUGGGUUUCCAGGUUGAUCAAUUCAGUGGGAUCUAGAUUCCCCAUGGGGCUAAGACCGACGAGGCCGGGUGCGUCAGAAACAGGGAUGGUGAUUUGCUGCCUAAGUUCCUAAAAAGGAUACAAAAGGAGAACUAAGAACAGAUCUAAAAGAUGCGUGAAUGGUGAAAAGUAAAAGUAAAAACUUUGGGAUAUUUACCUCUGGAAUGAAAGCCAUAGUCGCCUAUGGAGCCGCUAUUGGAGUAAACAGAAUAGGAUGGACGGAAGAUGAAGGAGGAAUCACCGUAGGAAUGCAGUUGGAAGAUGAAAGGGUGCCGAAAUGCGAUGGAAGAUGAUUCGCCGGGGAAAAAAGAGUUUCCCAGCUUGUGGAGAAGAAGCGGCGGAGAAUGCAAAUAUUUAAAGAUGGUUCGAGAGAAGGGUAAAGGUGGGAUUUUACCGCGCUGUCUGCACAAAUUUCGGGAAGAGCGGUUGCCUGCGAGCGCCUAGCUCGAAAAUUGUGAUCAUCAGAGAGAAGACCGCAGAACAGAAAGGAGCUUUCGCCGUGCCCGCCUCGGAGGAUGAGUUAGAGUUGAAAAAAAUUUGAAGCAAAAAGUUUCACUCUGAAACUUGGGGGCAUGUGUUGACGCCGGAUUUUGACACGUACUUGAAAUCGGCGUCAAAGAAGGAGAAAGGGGGGCCGAUGCGGCGGACUAGAAGCUACAGUUGGGAAUCGGCCGAUUGAAGCUACAGUGUUUCAGCCGAUUGGUGGAAGAAAUCGGUGGAGGCUGGCCGAUUGAGAGCCAAAGCAGUUUGGCCGGUUUGGGCCUAAGGUGGACCAGGAUGAAGAUUUGCUGAAGAGACAGGCCCGUGGGAAAAUAAUAACCAACUCGAAUAUGAGUCGUGUUUGUAACUAUUUGUUGUCGUUUGAAAUUAGAGAUAGAUUCUAGUCGGUUAUGAAAUCAGUUGCAACAGGCAAUAAUAGCUGCCUCGAGAGGCUUGUAAAAAAAUAACACACAAUCAAUAAAACAAAUUUACUCUUUCCUCGUACUUUACUUUCAAGUCGGCGACUUCGCCAAAACCUUUUUCUUUCACGAGUUCGUACGGAUUGGCAGGGCUGCAUCUACAUGAUCUCCGACCGAUUCUGUAAGUUCCGCUUAUCGAGUAAUAUCUAAGCUUUAACUUCGGGCGCAUCGCUGUUGUUUCAUUUAGAUUUAUUCACUAGUUAUCGAUAUCAACUACAGUCAUAGGUUUUACCUGUUAUUUUAGUUUUUAUCACCAAUUAUCCAGCUUGAGGUACGAGCUAUCGGCUUCUAUUAUUUUUAUCCUUUAUCAUCACAUAGCUGAUUAGAUCUACUCCAAGUGUUGCUUUUGUAGUGUUGUUUAGGUUGCUCUAGAAGUUUUCCUUACGAUUGCUACGUGAGUAUCGGCUGUCUUAUAGCCGGUCAUCUCUAUAGUAAAUCGGCCGAUUCGCUAAUACGCUCUUCAAGACAGAUCGGAACUCUAGCCGAUCGAAACCCCUAAAAUUUAAUAUUCUUCUUUCCUUUGUCAAUCAACAGGUCAGAUUGACUGGCACGCCGCGCGAACCGCACCAGGGCAAUAACCUGAACAGGAGCUAAGCAGAUUCUCCCGGGUCGUGUGUCCGACGCUGAGGGUCAUCGGCCAAUUUUCAGGGCCAACAACAGCUUUUGGGCAAAAGCAUAUAGGACUUUUAGGGGGUGUUUGGCAUGGCUCUAGAGCUGAACUCCGGUAACUCCAGCCAAUUUUCCAGCCAAACACCCUAGCUCCAAAACUCCAUGGAGCUGCAGUGCAAAUGGGAUGGAGUUUUGGCGCACCUCUUUUGUAGCUCCAAAACCACCUAAUAUGAACCUCCUCGUGGAGUUGGUGGGUAAUUAACCAUCAAUGCCACUGAUUAAAAUAAAAAUGAUUCACUUCUAUUUUCUCUCGAGACCCCUCCCCGCGCCGCCCGAGGCCUCCUGAUGCCGCUCUCCUGCGCCGCCGCCUAGCGCCGCCGACAGCUGCUGUCGCCGUCCGUGCCCCGCGUCCUGCGGGCUACCGCCUCGCCAUCCCCAUGAGCCCCCUGCACCGCCGUCAGAGCCGCCAGCCGAGCCGCUGCGGCCGGGUUUCCGCCGUCUUGCCGCCUCUUUCCUCAACUGGAGUGAGCCAUCAGCAGCAGCAGAUUCCCCUCGGCGAGCCACGCCCGUUUCGCCGGUUCCGUUGUCACCCUGCUGCCGGAGUGCCGCCGCCACCGUGAAAACCGCCCGCCCCCCGAUCUCCACCACCACGCUGACCACCUCCGUCCAUGCCCUCCGCCGGUGAGCACACCCGUAGAUUCCCCUCGACCCCCUCUUCCUCUUGCGCCACCUGCCCAAAACACCACCUCGCCGGAGCGCCAGCAAGCUAGCUGGCCAGAGCCCCGGUGAGAGGAGGAAGAAGGAACCUGGCUCUUUUGUGAUUGGGUCCUUGAGGAAAGCUAAAAUCUUUUGCUCUGUUCCUUGCUCCCGGCGAGAGGAGGAAGAAUAGUGGGCUUCUGUGGUGGAGGGCGAGAUCGAACCAGGAGUCAGAAUGUCAAUCUACCCUCAAACUCCUCUUUUCUGGAGUUGGGAACACCCUCCCAACCAAACACCUUCAUCAGACAGCAGGUUGAAAAGAGGCACAUGAGGCUCAGCCGCUUAGGCCCACGGGCAAAAAAAAAAAACUCUUACUUUAUGGCGGAGUAGUUGCUGUUCCAGUGUGCAGGUAAAUUGUCGCAAAUGCCCUCUUGUGGUCGCGUUGCAGUAGCCGAUAAGGCGUCCAAACGUGAGGUGCACACACCUGAUCUGAUCCUCUCAGUGGAAACGGGCCAGGUCCAUGCAACCCAGGACAGGAAGGCUCUAUACCUGGGCCGAACGGUAGCCCAAGAGGCCGACAGUAAGUGAGCUCACGGGUGACGAACGGCCCAGAAGCCGCCCCAAUCCGGCCACCGCCACUGAGCCGGCUCGACUAAACCGGAUCGCCACGCAGCCCGACCGCGCAGGCGUACUUCCCGAACUACCCCCGGAGAUUAUCCAAUCGGACGGCCAAGCGCCACGCACUGCCAAAGAAUUCCCCGAAAUGACCCUACUCUUCCCUUUGCCUCCCUCGCGUGCCGCCGGUUCUGCUCGACCGGACCAGCGGUUCAGGCGCCGAAUAUUCGCCCGCGGAUAUUUCUUGCCCGGUGCGUCAACUCCGCCGCUAUAAAUACCCUCAUAGGGCGGCCGCUAGGGUUUUAGUGCUUCUCUCCCGGCGGCGCCUCCACAUAUCGUCUCUCAGAUCGGGAGGCGAAACCAAGGUGACUGACCUCAUCCCCUUUCUCCUCCCUCCGUCUCUGGUUGCUAUAGCUAUUUCAUCCAUGCGCUGUCCUUAUAGCUGAUUAGUAUUUUUACUAGUGGAGUUCGAGUCGUUUUGGUUCCAUUCAGUAGUGCUUGUGUUGAUUGGAUUGAAUCGGAGGACUCGAAGUGGUUUGUGCUGCUCGAAUCGUAAGUUUGUUGGGCUAAUCUCGAUGGAAUUUAUGUCAAUUCGUUGGUUUAGUGGUCCUUGGCAGUUCUCUCUGUGAUAGGCCCGUCCGAUCUGUAGAGAUGCGGUGGAAUCCUGGUUUACUCAAAACGGUUCUAGAUUCCUCUGUUCUUCCCUUAUUUUUUGUUUCGAUUACUUAGUUUGCACGUUAGGGGCCUAUGAAGUUUAUGUGCUCGGAUCCUUUAGUGAAACUGAUCUGUUUACUCAGAUGUGCUCGGAUCCUUCAGUGAAACUGAUCUGUUUACUCAGAUCUGCUGGUAGCUAACAGGUUCAGGGUAGUUAUGUUGAUGGUCUAGUUUUGGUAGUUUCAUUGUCGAUUUCUGUCCAUUUUUGUCAUGUUCUGUCCAUAAAAAUACUAUCUGUGCUUCUUCAUAUCUUGUAAUAUGAAUUCAUUUGACAAACUAUGCAUUUCUUUUAGAGUGUUUGUCUAAAUUAAUCUUCUGGUAUAUCCCUAUGCCAGUCUGUUAAUAUGUCUGUAUUAUAGUGUUUUGUUUGAGGUGGUAAUGUACAUGGUGCACCCUGCAGUUUUUCAUGUCUAAUAUUGAAUCUCCUUGUUUGCUGUAUGUAUUAAGGAUUAGUUUCACUUCAAAUAGCUUACUGCUGAUGCUUUCUUGUUUGUUUAAUAUGCUGUGUAAUCAUGUUGACCCUGAGGUUUGUAAGAAUUCCUCUUAUUUGAUUAUUGCAUGGAUUAGUGUCCUGAAGGAUAUGGCUCCUUUGUACAAUUAAGAUAAUUCACUUUUUUUUCUCAACUUUUAUAUGCUUACUAGCCCAUUAGGUUGUGUAAACAUUAGAGUGCUUUAGCCUGGUAAAGAUGAGUUAAGCAUUUUAAAUAAAUUUUUGGAUUUGGUUGAUAUCAUCCUUAACACCUGCAUUUAAACAAUUUGUCUCUUUUGAUCCUGACUAUUACAGUGGGUGUUACUUUCUUUAGUCAUUCUGUGGUAUCAAAGUUUCUGGUGUAGUUGUGUAAUUAUGGUUUUGGUUGGAUUCUUACUAGUAUUUUCUACCUUUAAACAGCAGGAAAUUAUAUACAUAUUUGUAGUGUGAUCUUCAUAAGAAGUCAAGAUGGUGAAGUUCACAGCGGAAGAGCUCCGUGCCAUCAUGGACAAAAAGAACAACAUUCGUAAUAUGUCCGUUAUUGCUCAUGUGGACCACGGUAUGUUAAGAACAGUGUUUAAUUAAAUGUUAUGCAUACCUGUUCCUCGACAUUUUUCAGGCUUUUCAAUUUUAGCAAUUGUUUUUUUUCAGUAUUAAAUCUCUGAAUUGUUCUUGCCAGUGAAUGCGAUUCAUGCUGCGUUAGCUAUCACAGACCUAUUUUACAUAUGUAGAAAUAUUCAUUUCAUGUUGGAAAUAGGCUUAUUGUUCUUUUGUAAUUAAUGUAUUGGUUUAUCUCUAGAUAUUGCAGUGUAUAGUAUCUGUUUACUAUGUGUUUUAUAUUGGGAUGUAUUGUUGUCUUUGUUAACUUGUGAGAGGUUGUCUAUCCCUAAUGUUGUACUAUUCUUGAUGCAUCUUCGGACUGACUUUUAAGUUCCACACUAUAGUCUUACAUCUCAUUAAUUCUUUGCAGGCAAGUCUACCCUUACAGAUUCCCUUGUGGCAGCUGCUGGGAUUAUUGCCCAGGAAGUUGCUGGUGAUGUCCGCAUGACUGAUACACGUGCAGAUGAAGCAGAGCGUGGUAUUACAAUCAAAUCCACCGGUAUUUCUCUGUACUAUGAGAUGACUGAUGAGUCACUGAAGAGUUACAAGGGUGAGAGAGAUGGUAACCAGUACUUGAUCAACCUUAUCGACUCACCUGGGCACGUUGAUUUUUCUUCGGAAGUCACAGCUGCCCUUCGUAUCACCGAUGGUGCUCUAGUGGUGGUUGACUGUAUUGAAGGUGUCUGUGUGCAAACUGAAACUGUGCUCCGCCAGGCUCUUGGUGAGAGGAUUAGGCCAGUGCUUACUGUGAACAAGAUGGACAGGUGUUUCCUUGAGCUUCAGGUUGAGGGUGAGGAAGCCUACCAGACUUUCUCCCGUGUCAUUGAGAAUGCCAAUGUCAUUAUGGCAACAUAUGAAGAUAAGCUCCUUGGUGAUGUCCAAGUCUACCCGGAGAAGGGAACUGUUGCUUUCUCUGCUGGUCUGCACGGCUGGGCCUUUACCCUCACCAACUUUGCCAAGAUGUAUGCUUCGAAGUUUGGAGUUGAUGAAACUAAGAUGAUGGAGAGGCUCUGGGGUGAGAACUUCUUUGACCCAGCCACAAAGAAGUGGACCACCAAGAACACAGGCUCUGCUACCUGCAAGAGAGGAUUUGUUCAGUUCUGCUAUGAGCCAAUCAAGCAAAUCAUCAACACCUGCAUGAAUGACCAGAAGGAUAAGUUGUGGCCCAUGCUUCAAAAGCUUAAUGUUACCAUGAAGUCUGAUGAGAAGGAAUUGGUUGGCAAGGCUUUGAUGAAGCGUGUUAUGCAAACUUGGCUUCCAGCUAGUACUGCACUGCUUGAGAUGAUGAUAUUCCACCUUCCUUCCCCAUCAAAGGCACAAAAGUAUCGUGUGGAGAACUUGUACGAGGGACCCCUUGAUGAUAUCUAUGCUACUGCUAUCAGGAACUGUGAUCCGGAGGGUCCUCUUAUGCUGUAUGUUUCUAAGAUGAUUCCAGCAUCUGACAAGGGCAGGUUCUUCGCCUUUGGUCGUGUCUUCUCUGGGAAGGUUGCUACUGGUAUGAAGGUUAGGAUCAUGGGUCCCAACUAUGUCCCUGGCCAGAAGAAGGAUCUGUACGUCAAGAGUGUCCAGCGUACUGUUAUCUGGAUGGGAAAGAAACAAGAGUCUGUUGAGGAUGUUCCUUGUGGUAACACUGUUGCUAUGGUUGGUCUGGAUCAGUUCAUCACGAAGAAUGCUACACUCACCAAUGAGAAGGAGGUUGAUGCAUGCCCAAUCAGAGCAAUGAAGUUCUCUGUCUCCCCUGUUGUGCGCGUUGCUGUUCAGUGCAAGGUUGCCUCUGACCUACCCAAGCUCGUUGAAGGUUUGAAGCGUCUGGCAAAGUCUGAUCCUAUGGUCCUCUGUACAAUUGAAGAAUCUGGUGAGCAUAUUAUUGCUGGAGCUGGUGAGCUUCACCUUGAGAUUUGCCUGAAGGAUCUGCAGGAAGACUUCAUGGGUGGUGCUGAAAUUAUUGUUUCUCCUCCUGUUGUCUCUUUCCGUGAAACUGUUCUUGAGAAAUCCUGCCGAACAGUCAUGAGCAAGUCCCCCAACAAGCACAACCGUCUUUACAUGGAAGCCCGUCCCUUGGAAGAGGGUCUCCCUGAGGCUAUUGAUGAGGGCCGCAUUGGUCCACGUGAUGAUCCCAAGGUUCGCUCCAAGAUCCUCUCUGAGGAGUUUGGUUGGGACAAGGAUCUUGCCAAGAAGAUUUGGUGCUUUGGACCUGAGACCACUGGCCCGAACAUGGUUGUUGAUAUGUGUAAGGGAGUGCAGUACCUCAAUGAAAUCAAGGAUUCUGUUGUGGCUGGCUUCCAGUGGGCCUCAAAGGAGGGUGCACUGGCUGAGGAGAACAUGCGUGGCAUCUGCUUUGAGGUCUGUGAUGUUGUUCUUCAUGCUGAUGCAAUUCACAGGGGUGGUGGCCAGGUCAUUCCAACUGCCAGGAGGGUUAUUUAUGCUUCUCAGCUCACUGCCAAGCCAAGGCUGCUCGAGCCAGUUUACCUUGUGGAGAUCCAGGCCCCAGAAAAUGCACUUGGUGGUAUCUAUGGUGUUCUGAACCAGAAGAGAGGGCACGUGUUUGAGGAGAUGCAGAGGCCUGGUAC